CUUAAAACGAACUCCAAAAGUUACUUGACUUGAGCCUUUCCUUUCCGAGUAGAAUCCGGAUCACGAUAAUCUAUUCAAAACAAUUAUUCACAAUCAUAAUUCGAGUCCAAUGACACCAAAAUCAAGAAAUUUAGGGAAAAAGGGCAAAAACGGUCCAAAAGUUUCAUACCGGAAAACGAUACCUAAAUCUGGAAAUUUUUUUAUGUAAAAUGAUCCUUAAAGUAUUUGGAAGCUAAUGGUGAAAACCAAUUUGAAAACGGAGUUGAAAUCAAUUCACAAACUCAAUUUGAAGGAAAAAUCCACGUUCUUGAAGAAGCCUAAAAUAUUCGGAUCCUAAACCCCGACUCGAAAAUGAAAUAUCUCUUGGAAAACAUCUUACCCACUCUUAGAUAAGUUCAAAUAUGAAAUUUCAUCAAAAACGGAGUUAAGAUCGACCUUGAAAUUCUCAAUUUAUCAAACUUUAACUUUACCGGGAAAGUCCAAAUUGUACGCGGUUAAUAUGAUGAAAAUAAUCGAUGAAUCAAUAAUUUUAUGUUAAAAUCAGUUUACCCAUAACAUAAGGAUCGUAAAUAUACCUUUUUCAUCAAAAAGGGAGUCCAAAUAGAUAAAACCCCAAUUUUUCCCAAGAGAUUUACGGAUAGGAAAAAAAAAAUACUAACCCUCAUAUUAAUUCAAGAAGAAACCCGUAAGAAUCACUCCAUUCCGAUCUCUAGAACUCCCGAUAUGCUCAAAAUACCAAAUGAACACAGUCUGAGAUUUUUAUAACAGUGCAUGACUGUUAUGCACCAGAAAAACAGCAGUUAAUCUUUCACUAAAAAGGCCGUAAUUUCCUCAUACGAUAGUGAAAUGACCCGAUUCUUUUUUGUAAAUGUCUUAAAUAAUGAUACGGACCUGCUCGUUCAAUCGGAGCUCAAUUUCAUGCUCGUUUGCCCAGUCAAAUAUCAUUUCUACUCGGUAAACAAUUAUUUCUUAUUUGCGAUAAAAGUCCAAUCUCGGGUUAGCGAAAAUGCACCAAAAUUUGCAGAUAAGUCCUAUAAUUCAUGCUCAAAAUUCCAGAACCUUCGGAAUAAUUUUUCGACCUUUAAAACUAAUAAUGAACCCUUUAGUUGCCACAAUUUGCUGAAAUAGUGUCAAAGCAUCCAAGAAGCUUAAAAGCUCACCCAAAACUCAUUUGGCACUUCCCGAACACAAACCAAAUAUGCUACUAGCUUGAAAAUGACAUUUCGGACUCAAUGAAAUCGUCGGAAUUUGAAUUCGAGGUCUCCUUGACCCGGUAUCCGAUAAGGCGUCAAGAAACUAACUUUAGGCUCAAAAACUCGAAACGCACUCGGGGCCUCUAAAAGUUCAACCAAGACUCAUUCUAGACUUAGAAUCACCCCCUGAAUCCAACGGUGCCCUCGGAAUUCCAUUUCGAGCACCGGAACCUCGUUUGUUGACCAAAGUCAACUCUUGAUCAAAAUUUCACAAUUUUUGCAACUUAGGACCUCAAAUCUUCGUUUUAACUCCAAAUUCGACUCCGUAAAUUCUCAUAGACCCGUUUCGACAUUCUAAAACUGCUGGAAUCGACGGAAAUCCGAUUCGAGUCUCGAAACUCCAAAUGACUCGAAAUAGCACUUUUAACCAAACUUUAACUCUUAAAAACUCAACUUUCCAAAAACUCAACUUUUCAUCAAUUUUCCUCCAAACCAACUUCGAAAAUACAACAAUUAGGACUCGGGGCAACUAUCGGGAGGGGUAAAACGGUCAUUUUAUGAAAAUUUCCAAAAAUGACUUUUAGGGUCAUUACAAGGCUAACCUUAGACAAAAUCUUGGCUAAGUGGGGUGUUGGUCAUAUGAGGAUGAGUGGGGUGUAAUGUCUAGGCUUCGUUGAUAUUUUCUUGUAGCCAAGAAAUUAAGGAACCUAUAGUGCUUUACAUAAUUGAAUUCAGGUAAGUAGAACUCUCAAAAUUGAUCUUGGCAUCGAAAGGGAUAGAUCGGGACGUCAAGGGAAGUAUGUGUGUUGUGAAAAAGGCACUUUUCAGAAAUUUCCGAAGCAGCAAUACUACUUUCGCAUAGUCCCUACCGUGAGAGGCUCCCGCCAUAGUGAGCGUGUGCAGGUUCUAUAGCGGGGUAAGUUCCGCUAUAACGGAUUUGGCAUUAAAGGAAUUAAUCUAAUAUAAUCAAAUGAGAGACAUAUGUACAGUCCUACACAAAAUUGACAUCCUUUUACCAAAAAUGUUUAGCAAAAAAUUAAGUCUAAAAAAGUUGGCACUACGUAGCUAAAUUUUUCAUCUUUGUAUUUAAAAAAUAAUAAUCUCUCUAAUACUAAGAAUUUAGCUAUCCAACCCUUCGGGGUGGCCCAGUGGUUUGGGCUUGAGACUUUCAUGUUGGAGGUCUCAAGUUCUAAACCCCUUGCCAGCGAAAGCAAGGGGUUUGCCUUCUGGGUCGAGUUCGUUGCACUGGGAUUGCCUAGUACGAGUUACCUCUCCUAUGAGCGAGAGUUUAUUCUCUACGAACACAAGGGGUAUCGGCUUCGGGUUUCCCUUGUCAUGAAAAAAGAAGAAGAAAGGAAUUUAGCUAUCCAUGUUUUUAUUUAUAGUAAGUAUAUUAGUUAGACUAUUUUAAAAGAAAUUUCUUAUUUCACGUUGGAUAUCCCUAAAAUUAGAAAUUCGAUUAUUUUGUUUCCCUUAUUGCAUUUACCGGAUAUCCCUUAUUUUAGAGAUUCAAUUAUUUCAUUUCAACCCUUUUUUGUUGAAGUAACUAUUAGUUAAAAUACUUUAUUUUUGCAGCAAAAUUGAUUAAAGUUUUUCAAACCUAUUUUUCAAACUUAAGAUACCACAUUGAAGUUUAUAAUUAGAAAAAAAAUUCACAUCUAAUAAGUUGACCAUUUGAAAUUAGAAACUCACAUGGAAACACUAAUUUUACUUGUACGCCAAUGUCCCUAGUCGUCUAAUUAAAUUAUACAUAGUCUUUUUUUAUAAAUAGAAAAGUAUUUUAAUAUAUAAGUGCGUAAUUAUUAGUACUAAAUAAAAAUUAUUUGGAAACACUAAUGUUACUUGUACGCCAAAGCCCCAAAUCAUCCAAGUUAUAAAAUAUUUUUUUUCUUUUUAUUUUAUCUUUUGAAUUGUUUACUUGAAUACUUAAUUUACUGAUCAUUGACCUUCAUAGUUAUCCUAAAAUGAAAAUACUAAGUAUUUUUUUUUGUCUUAAUUUAUAUGACAUAUAUUUUUUUUAUUGAUCAGUUAAAAAAAUGACACGUUUAUAUUUAAGAGUAGCAAUUUAACAUUAAAAUACUCAUUUAACACUUAUUGAGAUGAUUUAUAGUCACAUAUAAACAUCUAUGACGACUUAUUUUGAGCAUAAGUUUCAAAAGUCUUUCUUUCUUUCUUAAAUUUGUGCCUAAUUAAUUACAUCAUAUAAAUUGAAACGAAGGAAAUAUAAAAUUAUUUUAAAACUAACUAAAAAAGUGAACAGUUGACAUAUAUUUUAGGACAUAAGAAGUUUAUUCUACUAGUUGAGAAAAUCAAAUACUACCUCCGUUCCUAUUUAUAUGUCCCCAUUUUUUAUUUCACGGGGAUUAAGAAAUUAAGUAAGUUUAUUAUUUUACCCUUAUUUAAUUUUUUUUAAGUCACCUUUUUUCAAUCAAUGAAUAUGAAUUAAUUUAUUUUGUUUAAUUAAUUUGACCAAUGAACAUGAGUUAUUCACUUAGUUUUUCUAUGUUGGUCAAAUGUAUAUAUUUUCAAGGCUAAUAACUCAUAAGGAUAAAAUAGAAAUAAUAUUGUAAUUUAUGCAUUGAUAUUAUGAAAUGACAAGUAUUAUGGACCAACUAUUUAUAGUAAAAAUGAUAUAUAAAAAGAAACGGAAGGAGUAUUAUUUAAUUAUUGCAAACAUUAAUUGUUCCAUUUAUCAAGAUCUGUACGCAUAUAGUGAGCAUUGAUCCACUAUAUAAAUAAUCCAGUCAUAAUAUUUAACAAAUAAUCCAGUCAUAAUAUUUAACAAAUAAUCCAGUCAUAAUAUUUAACAAAUAAUCCAGUCAUAAUAUUUAACAAAUAAUCCAGUCAUAAUAUUUAACAAAUAAUCCAGUCAUAAUAUUUAACAAAUAAUCCAGUCAUAAUAUUUAACAAAUAAUCCAGUCAUAAUAUUUAACAAAUAAUCCAGUCAUAAUAUUUAACAAAUAAUCCAGUCAUAAUAUUUAACAAAUAAUCCAGUCAUAAUAUUUAACAAAUAAUCCAGUCAUAAUAUUUAACAAAUAAUCCAGUCAUAAUAUUUAACAAAUAAUCCAGUCAUAAUAUUUAACAAAUAAUCCAGUCAUAAUAUUUAACAAAUAAUCCAGUCAUAAUAUUUAACAAAUAAUCCAGUCAUAAUAUUUAACAAAUAAUCCAGUCAUAAUAUUUAACAAAUAAUCCAGUCAUAAUAUUUAACAAAUAAUCCAGUCAUAAUAUUUAACAAAUAAUCCAGUCAUAAUAUUUAACAAAUAAUCCAGUCAUAAUAUUUAACAAAUAAUCCAGUCAUAAUAUUUAACAAAUAAUCCAGUCAUAUUUUAUUAUUAUAAUAUAAUAUAAAUUAGUUUAUAUUAUCAUUAAGUGGUACAUAUUGCAAUUUUUAUGCCUAUAAAUAAAGGAUAACUUCUGUUUCUGAAUUCCAUCCAAGUUUAGCUAUUUCUACAAUAUAUCUUAUGGCAAAUAAUUUUCCAAUGAAGUUGCAGGCCCUUACCAUUUUCUUGGUAAGUAGAAUUUUAAUUUAUAUACGUUUUUAUCUUAUCAUUUUAUAAUUACAACUUAUUUAAGUUUGGUCCUUUUCUAUGUUAUCAAUUGAUUCUGAAAAUAAUCAAAUAUUAUCGUACAUAACUAGUAGUAUAAUUCACUAAUUUUUAAAAAUUUGCUUAUUUUGAAGAGGAAAAAAAAAUGUGACUUGAGGGUAACAAUUUGUAGCAUUUUGUGAUUAACCGAGAUUUUGUAAGUGUUUUUUGGGAUGAGAUACUUUUUUUUAGCUUUUAAAAAAAGGGAAAAAGGCAUGAUAUGCUCCUCAACUUUGUCAUUUAGAGCUGAUAUACCCUGUUAUAAAAGUGGUUCAUAUAUAUCCUUACUGUUACACAAAUGACUCACAUAUACCUUUACCGUUACAAAAAGGACAUCACAUACACCCUUCAUCUAACGGAAGUGAGAAAAUUAGUUUUAAAUUUAUUUUCUUGACUUUAAAUUUUAAAAAAUUAAUGUAGGGAUAUAUAUGAUCCUUCUAACAAAGUUCAAGGUAUAUUUUGAUUUUUUUCAUACAAAAAUUAGUUUUUUUACUUCUUUGAUUAUCAUUAUUCGAGUUUCUUAUCCUUUUUUAUUUGAUUCUUUAGUGUAAAGAAAAAAAUUAAAACUAAUUUUUUUUGCAGCUAUAUUGUAAUUUAGUUUUUGUAUUUGUAAAAAUAAAAUUAAAAAUGGGGCAUCUGUAAUAAAUUUUAUAAGAAAAUUAGUGAAACAAAAAUAAAUUUGACUAUCAAAAUAAUAAAUUUAAAUUAGUAUAACAGUAGGGGUAUAUACAAGUCACUUUCAUAACAAGGGGUAUAUCAUCUCUAAAUGACAAAGUUGAGGGGUAUAUCAUAUCCUUUUCCCUUUGAAAAAUAACUUUUGUUACUUGAUCAAACAUCUCAACUCACUAAAAAAAACUUUAAUUAAGUUUCAGAAGUUUGGUCGGACAAUCUAUAUAUUAUAUGCUCAUAUAUUACUCCUUGACAAACUAAAUUCCAUUAUCUAAGUCAAAUUUAAGUUUAAUGUAUGAGUUUUUAUAACGAUUUCAAGUUAAUAUAUAUAUAAUAAUAACUGACUUCAUUUUCAAAUAUAUAUAUGUAGCUUGCUUUUGUAUUAGCAAGUACUUAUGCAGCGAUAUCUCCGGAGGUUUAUUGGAAAAUAAAAUUGCCCAAUACUCAAAUCCCCAAAGUCAUCAAAGAUUUCCUUCCUCAAUCAGGUAUACAGUAGAAUUUAUUGUAUGUGUUUAUAUUUUAAGGAUAGUAUUACAGGCAUACCUCAAACUAUGAGAAUUCUCAUGAUUUUCAACAAUUUAUUGUGAUUGUGAUUUUACAGACGGCGUUGUUCCUGAGCUUAAACAAGAAAACACUAAGAAGAAAGUGUACUAUGGUUUAAGUGGAUAUAUUCCCAUUAGCUGGCAUCAUGUUGCUAAUUUUGAGUUUCAACGUUUCGUGCUAGAAAACCCCAGCACGAAUAGUGCUACUAACAAGAAUUUGAUCAAACAAGUAACUGAAGGAAGUAGUUUCAAGAAUGAUCUUAAAGUAAAUUAUGAUACUUUGAAACAAUACUUCUUUUUAGAGAAGGACUUGGAGAACGGAAAAGUUGUCGAGUUUCCCUCUUUCCUAAAUAAAAACGAAGCACCAUUUUUACCUAGACAUUUUGUUGAAUCGAUUCCCUUCUCGAUGGAGAAAUUCCCAGAGAUCCUCAACCAUUUCUCAAUCGAUAGUAAAUCAAAGGAUGCUCAAACGAUUAAGAAAACAAUCAAACUUUGUGAAGAGUCAGAAGUGAAACAUAAAGAGAAGAAAACUUGUGUGACUUCUUUGGAGUCUAUGGUAGAUUUCGGGUUAUCUGUACUUGGGACAAACAAUAUCCUCGCGAUUACUUCAGAGGUACAAGGGGAAACUCAAGCAUCCCAACGAUACACAAUUGAACAAGUUCAACAAAUAUCUGAUGGGGAUAACAUGGUUUGCCACAAGCUUAACUACGCGUAUGCUCUACAUUAUUGUCAUGUUGGAGGAAGUACAAGAACAUAUAUGGUAUCUAUGGUCGGUGUUGAUGGAACAAAAGUGAAAGCAGUAUCAGUGUGCCACAAAGAUACAUCUUUUUGGAAUGCACACGCGAUCCCUUUUGUAGUUCUCAAGGUUAAGCCUGGAACUACGCCAAUUUGUCAUUUUCUUCAAGAUGAUCAAAUAGUCUUUGUACCUAUCUAAAUAGGCUACUUGGAGUUAUGAAAUAUGCGUUCAGACGCCAUCCUAAAUCAUCCUCUAAGAGUAGUCGUUUACCUUUUCUGUGUUUCAUGGGUAAUGUAUCUUUAUCUUUAUAAAUAAAUGAAAAUCAUCCUUUGCUUGAUGUUAUUUUUUUUAUGAUCCCUAAUGAUAUCAUUGAUAGUUAUUCGUUGCUAAACUUACUAAUUAAUAAUGAAAGAUAUGUCACAAUUAAUUUAUAUUUCACAAGCAUAAAAUGACAUUGCUAACCUACCAAUAAUAUAAACUAAUAUUAUGUACUACUAACCUUCCAUUGUCAACAAAUCUUUAGAUACAAAAGUCAUUAUAAUACCAGUCAAUUGUAACUAGCUUUUCAUUCCUUUAAUUUUGUUGGAAAUUAAUAAAAGCAAUUAAAGCUCUCCAACUCACUUGGCAGAGUUGUAGAAGGAUAAAGUACUAAGCCACCAAUGAAGUCCACAACUCACUUCUUGAAGUAACCAUAGGUCAUAUGUAGCAGCAUUCUAUUGGAACUACAUUAAACUUGAAUGAAAUCAGUCCUAUCAUGUUUAUAAGGACAUGUUUGGCUCUAUCUUCCCAAGAAUGAGUGAACUCAUUGACUUUUAUCCUCUGUCUUGACCCAACUCACCGGUCACCUAUUCUAACACCCUAGACAGGAGAAUCCUUGCUAUCCAAACCAGUUUAAACAAGUGGAAGAAUAAACUAACUACUACAAAGCUCAUAAACCUUGAGAAGAACAAAACUUUAAAUAAACUCUUUUUAUAAAAUAUCGUGAAACAACCCUCAAGGAACUAGUCUAAACAAAUACAAGAGCUACUAAGGAAGUACAUUCUAUACAAGAAAAUAGGAUACAACUCCCACCGUAAGGAAAGGAAACAUGGAAGCUGUCAGAGAUCAUCAUCGUCUGCACCUAUGUGUAACAUCACUAACCCUACAUCUGACUAUGCCAAGUGGCAUAGCAAGAGCAAUAUUAGUACAAACAACACGUACUGGUAGGCAUCAUCGGUUGACCCAAACCUACCGCAUAAUAUAAUGUGGAUAAUCAGAAAGUCAUACAAUAUAAAGGUUACACCACCCCACUUCUCUAUUCCCUUACUUUCACCCUUCCUAGGUAACUACUAUGACUAAGUAUCGCAAAUAUGCCACUCCAUGGCUCCCGAAGCCUACAUGUUAUGCAACCAUAAUGUCUAAACCCUAUCCUAACUCUUCUAUUACCUUGAGAUUCCUGAGUACGAGAGCACUCUAAAUUUGAUUAACCAACCUACUAUCCUAGCCCUUUUUGGAACAAUACAUGAAACUAGAGCCUUAGACCAACUUAUCCUUCUUAACUUUAUCAUGUAAGUCCUAAAAAUAAUGGACAACCAUAGCAGUCCCAACACUUAAUCAUACACCAGACCCCUGGUCAUCUGUCUCACUCAACAACCACCACUUUAAUGAACCUAUAUCAUCAUGAUAAUUAGAAACCCAACUUAGAAAUAACUAAAGGAUUGAGUCCCCAUUAACUCAAUCCAGUAUUUAAAGAAUUAUAGUCACGAGUAUAACGUAAUUCGAACUCCCAUUCCUCACCUUGGAUUUAUAUGCACAACCCACAAUGCCAUGAGCAUAUGUCAAUCACAUAUAACAACAAUCAUGAAUACAUAGACUCUUUGUCAUAACAACAUAAAAUAAUAACACAUGGAUCGCCAAUGCCUAGCUACACUUCUCACAUGAUUACGAUGAAAAAAAGCUAAACAUAAUCACGUAAAAUCUCUAAUAGGUAUUUCUAGGUGGAAAGAUAAUAAGAAAACAACCUGCAAAGAUUUUGCGUUACUUUCCACUAAAACCGAGGCUUCAAAGGUUGUACAUGUGCUCUAAAACUGCUGAAUCUAUGAGAUGACAUUUAUUGGGGUGUAAACAAGAUGGAUUGAUGAGGCAUCCUAGGGAUUCUCAGUCUUGGAAAACGUUUUACUUGUUUCAUCCUGAAUUUGUUGUAGAUCCUCGAAAUGUACGACUAAGUUUAGCUAAUGACGAUUUUAAUCCCUUUGGAUCAAUGUCAACAACCUAUAGUAUUUUGUUGGGUAUAUAGCAGAGUUAAUGGGAAAUGGAAGGAAGAUGAAAGAAGAGGAACUUGAAAAGUUCUCUUAUGCUUUAGUAAAAAGGCAUUUCUCCCUCAUUAAUGGUGGAAAGAAAAAUAUAAGGGUUUAAAUAGAGAAACACUUUUAUUAGUUAUUAAAAGGGUUGAAAAGAGGAACCCCCUCGCGUCAUCGUCGCUCGCUCGGCUUCGAAAAAUGAUCGAUCCAGAGAUUAUUUUUUGGACAAAGUUUGUUUUAAUUAUUUAAUUAUUUAUUUAAUUAAUUAAAUUAAAUUAAAUGGAUAAAGCAUUUCAAUUAUUUAGUUAAUUAACCGAAACGUUCCGACCCGACUCGGAUCAGCGCGACCCGUUUUAUUUAAAACACUUUCCCUUUUGAACUUCCCGCCGUUGGAGAUGACUGUUCUGAAAGGUUGGAACUUUCAAGAACAACCAUAACCGUUUGAAAGGUUGCAAACUUUCUGGAAUGGUAGUGUGGUUUCUGAAAGGUUGCAACCUUUCAGAACCAGUGCAUCUUGACUAUAAAUACCACUGAUUCUUCAGAUUUUUUACUUAAGAAAACUUUUUAUUUCUUCUUCUUCUUCUGCACAAAUAUUUUUCGUGUACUUUACGGCCGUUGAGUGACUUGCUGACACUAAUGUUAUAAAAUAAUAUUGUAAGAUUUAUUUGAGAAUGUUAACAUUUAGCAUCUUGAUGUGUUAUAAUAGAAUAUUUAUAUAAAUAAAUCAAAAUAUAAGCAUAGUUCAUUUUUCUAAAUUUGACAAUAAUAAUCUUUUAUCAUUAUUUAAUUUAUUUAAAAUGAUAAAUACUAUCACUAUAUCCAUAUUAUCCUAUUAUUAAAACAAUAAAGAUAUAAAAAAAAUUAAUUGUUAGAUUUUAAAUAAAAUAUAACUAAGAAAAGUCUUACCAUAAUGCUAAGCAUAUGUCACGAUCCAAGUGAAAUGACCCAAAAAGUUCUUAAAAAUGUGCUUCGGAAGUUACCGGAAACUUGUUUAGCCAUAUAUAAAAAAAUCCGUUUCAUUUUUCGAAAAUCCGACUUCAUAUUCUUGUUUAGGGGGUCAAAUUGAGUGGGAAAUGGGUCUAACCCAAAUUUUAGAGCAACCGUAUCAAAAUCCAAAAUUUCCAAGUGAAGCCUUUUUCGAGGGUCUACUUUGGAGGGUCAUAUCUCCUAGCACACAAAUUAUUUGGGUGGCCAAUAAUAUAUCCAUGGAAAGCCCUUUGAGUUAGCUAUCUAACGCACUUCGUUUCACCUCAUUCGGAGUUCGGACGAAGAAGUUAUGCCCAUUUUCGUAAAAUCUGUUCGGCAGGAAAAGGCAAUUUCCAGUAGGCGUGGUUACUGUUCACCCGCCUCAUUUUNNNNNNNNNNNNNNNNNNNNNNNNNNNNNNNNNNNNNNNNNNNNNNNNNNNNNNNNNNNNNNNNNNNNNNNNNNNNNNNNNNNNNNNNNNNNNNNNNNNNNNNNNNNNNNNNNNNNNNNNNNNNNNNNNNNNNNNNNNNNNNNNNNNNNNNNNNNNNNNNNNNNNNNNNNNNNNNNNNNNNNNNNNNNNNNNNNNNNNNNNNNNNNNNNNNNNNNNNNNNNNNNNNNNNNNNNNNNNNNNNNNNNNNNNNNNNNNNNNNNNNNNNNNNNNNNNNNNNNNNNNNNNNNNNNNNNNNNNNNNNNNNNNNNNNNNNNNNNNNNNNNNNNNNNNNNNNNNNNNNNNNNNNNNNNNNNNNNNNNNNNNNNNNNNNNNNNNNNNNNNNNNNNNNNNNNNNNNNNNNNNNNNNNNNNNNNNNNNNNNNNNNNNNNNNNNNNNNNNNNNNNNNNNNNNNNNNNNNNNNNNNNNNNNNNNNNNNNNNNNNNNNNNNNNNNNNNNNNNNNNNNNNNNNNNNNNNNNNNNNNNNNNNNNNNNNNNNNNNNNNNNNNNNNNNNNNNNNNNNNNNNNNNNNNNNNNNNNNNNNNNNNNNNNNNNNNNNNNNNNNNNNNNNNNNNNNNNNNNNNNNNNNNNNNNNNNNNNNNNNNNNNNNNNNNNNNNNNNNNNNNNNNNNNNNNNNNNNNNNNNNNNNNNNNNNNNNNNNNNNNNNNNNNNNNNNNNNNNNNNNNNNNNNNNNNNNNNNNNNNNNNNNNNNNNNNNNNNNNNNNNNNNNNNNNNNNNNNNNNNNNNNNNNNNNNNNNNNNNNNNNNNNNNNNNNNNNNNNNNNNNNNNNNNNNNNNNNNNNNNNNNNNNNNNNNNNNNNNNNNNNNNNNNNNNNNNNNNNNNNNNNNNNNNNNNNNNNNNNNNNNNNNNNNNNNNNNNNNNNNNNNNNNNNNNNNNNNNNNNNNNNNNNNNNNNNNNNNNNNNNNNNNNNNNNNNNNNNNNNNNNNNNNNNNNNNNNNNNNNNNNNNNNNNNNNNNNNNNNNNNNNNNNNNNNNNNNNNNNNNNNNNNNNNNNNNNNNNNNNNNNNNNNNNNNNNNNNNNNNNNNNNNNNNNNNNNNNNNNNNNNNNNNNNNNNNNNNNNNNNNNNNNNNNNNNNNNNNNNNNNNNNNNNNNNNNNNNNNNNNNNNNNNNNNNNNNNNNNNNNNNNNNNNNNNNNNNNNNNNNNNNNNNNNNNNNNNNNNNNNNNNNNNNNNNNNNNNNNNNNNNNNNNNNNNNNNNNNNNNNNNNNNNNNNNNNNNNNNNNNNNNNNNNNNNNNNNNNNNNNNNNNNNNNNNNNNNNNNNNNNNNNNNNNNNNNNNNNNNNNNNNNNNNNNNNNNNNNNNNNNNNNNNNNNNNNNNNNNNNNNNNNNNNNNNNNNNNNNNNNNNNNNNNNNNNNNNNNNNNNNNNNNNNNNNNNNNNNNNNNNNNNNNNNNNNNNNNNNNNNNNNNNNNNNNNNNNNNNNNNNNNNNNNNNNNNNNNNNNNNNNNNNNNNNNNNNNNNNNNNNNNNNNNNNNNNNNNNNNNNNNNNNNNNNNNNNNNNNNNNNNNNNNNNNNNNNNNNNNNNNNNNNNNNNNNNNNNNNNNNNNNNNNNNNNNNNNNNNNNNNNNNNNNNNNNNNNNNNNNNNNNNNNNNNNNNNNNNNNNNNNNNNNNNNNNNNNNNNNNNNNNNNNNNNNNNNNNNNNNNNNNNNNNNNNNNNNNNNNNNNNNNNNNNNNNNNNNNNNNNNNNNNNNNNNNNNNNNNNNNNNNNNNNNNNNNNNNNNNNNNNNNNNNNNNNNNNNNNNNNNNNNNNNNNNNNNNNNNNNNNNNNNNNNNNNNNNNUGUCAUGAACCAAAUAAGGUUAGUGAUAGCAGAGGCGAAUUUAGGAUUUUUCGAACAAGGGUGCACCAAGUAAAAUGUAUUGAAGUGAAAAUUGAUCCUUAAUCUUCAAGGUCAAAAGCUCAACAUUAAAUCAUGUGGACCAUUUAGACUUCUUGUAGUACGGGUGCCAAAAUAUAAUAUUAUACAAAUUUUAGAAAAUAUAUAUAUAAAAUAUCUAAUUUUACGAUGAGACCAUGGGUGCCAGUGCCCUAUUUUUUGGCUCUAAAUUCGCCACUGAGUGAUAGGAAUGUAGCUAUCUUUUAGUUGGGUUUUGGGGAGUUGGAAUUCUCUCCUGUGGUAGUACAUGGGUUCUCGAGGGCAUAAGCUUCACUCGUUGAAUCGAGGACUGUCAUGAACCAAAUAAGGUUAGUGAUAGCAGAGGCGAAUUUAGGAUUUUUCGAACAAGGGUGCACCAAGUAAAAUGUAUUGAAGUGAAAAUUGAUCCUUAAUCUUCAAGGUCAAAAGCUCAACAUUAAAUCAUGUGGACCAUUUAGACUUCUUGUAGUACGGGUGCCAAAAUAUAAUAUUAUACAAAUUUUAGAAAAUAUAUAUAUAAAAUAUCUAAUUUUACGAUGAGACCAUGGGUGCCAGUGCCCUAUUUUUUGGCUCUAAAUUCGCCACUGAGUGAUAGGAAUGUAGCUAUCUUUUAGUUGGGUUUUGGGGAGUUGGGAAUGCUCUCGUGUGGUAGUACAUGGGUUCUUGUAACGACCCUAAAAACGAACUAGUGAAACUAGAGCCUCACAUGUGAGUUUGGAGUCGAGAACUUAAUGAAAUGAUUAUAUUUGAAUUUGACCCAAAAAGUUCUUAAAAAUGUGCUUCGGAAGUUACCGGAAACUUGUUUAGCUAUAUAUAAAAAAAUCCGUUUCGUUUUUCGAAAAUCCGACUUCAUAUUCUUGUUUAGGGGGUCAAAUUGAGUGGGAAAUGGGUCUAACCCAAAUUUUAGAGCAACCGUAUCAAAAUCCGAAAUUUCCAAGUGAAGCCUUUUUCGAGGGUCUACUUUGGAGGGUCAUAUCUCCUAGCACACAAAUUAUUGGGUGGCCAAUAACAUAUCCAUGGAAAGCCCUUUGAGUUAGCUACCUAACGCACUUCGUUUCACCUCAUUCGGAGUUCGGACGAAGAAGUUAUGCCCAUUUUCGUAAAAUCUGUCCGGCAGGAAAGGCAAUUUCCAGUGAGCGUUUUUACUGUUCACCCGCCUCAUUUUUUUUUCUAAGUGUUGGACCAUUUUUCCAAAGGGCAUAUGUUAUUUCCUAUAUACCAUUAGUUCAAUUCCCAUCUCUAAAACAUUUCCCAAAACACCUCUCCCAUACUUAGACACAUUUUCUCUCAAGUUCUCUCAAGAACCCUAAUCCAAAACCUUCCUCAAGAUUGAAGAGACUCUUGCUCCAAGUUCCAAGCUUCCAUUGAAGACACUCUCAAGACCUUCAUAAAAACUCAAGGUAUGUGGUGUUGAACUCAUGGGUCCUUCCACCCAUAGUGCCUAGACUCUAUUCUACUCACUAAUUCAUGGUUUAAGUUAAGAUUCAUAAAUUAGUCUUGUUCUUUGUAAUAAUUUCCUGCACAUUGAAUUUUAAACAUGAAAAGUGAUUGUUUUGAGCAUGUUGUGACCCUAGAACUUGAACCUAAAUUUGGAAUGGAUGUGGAGAUUUUCAUGUGGUAUUGUGGGUGUUAAAAAGGUGUUGUUGUAGGUUGUUCACUGGUUUGGCUGCAUAAUUACUACCCUAUUUUCCAUGCUCUUUGAUUCCAUUACAUGCCUUCAAGGUGUUUGACAAAAUGUCCAACUAUGGAGAAUUGAUGAAUCGAUGCUUUAAAGCUUGAGUUAUGAGAUGUAUGGAAAUCCAGAGAUGUGUUGAUGACAAACUAAGCUUGUGUAUAUGUUCAUUCCAUACGUGAGAUUGCAUUAGAGCCUAAUGGGAAUUUCCUAUAUAAAGUGUUGCAUGACCAUGCCCGGUCCGGGGGAAAAGAACCGGACAACCAUGUGAGAGGUUUAUAUCUCACCACCUAGGAUGCUUGGGGUGUGACCAACAUCAACCAUGUGAGAGGUUUAUAUCUCACCACCUAGGAUGCUUGGGGUGUGACCAACAUCAACCAUGUGAGAGGUUUAUAUCUCACCACCUAGGAUGCUUGGGGUGUGACCAACAUCAACCAUGUGAGAGGUUUAUAUCUCACCACCUAGGAUGCUUGGGGUGUGACCAACAUCAACCAUGUGAGAGGUUUAUAUCUCACCACCUAGGAUGCUUGGGGUGUGACCAACAUCAACCAUGUGAGAGGUUUAUAUCUCACCACCUAGGAUGCUUGGGGUGUGACCAACAUCAACCAUGUGAGAGGUUUAUAUCUCACCACCUAGGAUGCUUGGGGUGUGACCAACAUCAACCAUGUGAGAGGUUUAUAUCUCACCACCUAGGAUGCUUGGGGUGUGACCAACAUCAACCAUGUGAGAGGUUUAUAUCUCACCACCUAGGAUGCUUGGGGUGUGACCAACAUCAACCAUGUGAGAGGUUUAUAUCUCACCACCUAGGAUGCUUGGGGUGUGACCAACAUCAACCAUGUGAGAGGUUUAUAUCUCACCACCUAGGAUGCUUGGGGUGUGACCAACAUCAACCAUGUGAGGGGUUUAUACCUUGCCACCAGGGUGUCCGGGUGUGAACGGCAUCCCCCAUCCUAAGUUGGGGUUAUAGAUUGGUUGGAUCAUGCAUACACAUAUGAUAUCUACUAUUAGUAUAGAGUUACUUAAACAUGUUUUGACUUCACUUUGAUCAUGCAUCCUCAUAUUGUUAUUCAUAAUGCCUAUGAAACUAUUUCUUGUAUUUCGAUUGUGUCCUUGUUUAUUGUUGUGUUGCACCCCGCAUACUUAGUACAUUCCAAGUACUAACGCAUAUUUUGCCUACAUGAUGUCACCAUGUAGGGACCGGAGCUACUCUUGAUCCUUCUCUCCAUUCACGUGGCUAGUACGACGCUUAUCCGAGUUUGUUGGUGAGUCCUCAAUGAUUCGAGGGCUAUGUUAUGUUUCCUACUCCUAUGUUUUGAGACUUUAGCUUGCAAUUGUAUUUUGACUAUGAGGGGAGCCGGUAGAAUGUCAUGGCCCCGUCCUAUCUAUGUAUGUAGAGGUGUGCGUUGGACAAGUAUUUUGUAAAUGAGCUUGACUCUUAUUCUAUGAUGUCGUUUUGAAAUGGUUUGCCCUUAGUCCCUAUUUCCCGUUAAUUAAUGUUGAAUGUACUUCCGCGACCGAUGAAGUGUGAUGACAAGUUUGAGAGGCUUGUUUAGGGUUCCUUCAGGUUCCUCAUUCGCCAUGUCACGUCUAGGCCCUAGGCUUAGGUUGUGACACCAAGUCUACACUGUGGACGCGGCCGGCAAUCAAGAACCAUUGAUGGUCCCCAAGCAAACCCUCAUCCUGGCUGACUACAGGCAGAAGACUAACUUAAGCAUACAAAUGCUUAAAACCGAAUAAAAUUCAACAAACUCAACUUUUCAAAACCUUAACUCAAAUGAACAACUUAGAAUAAAAAUAAUAUAUUCAACUCGCCAUAAAAUAGGCAAUUUAAGUCUUUAAAACAUUUAAUAAAAUAAAUGAAUAAUACAAACUUCUCAACUAUAUUGAUUAUCUAUGAAGCCUCUAACUGAUAAAGAUGGAAGUCGGGACAAGACCCACGACAUCCGGACUAAACUGAAAAGUAUAUGAAAUCCUACGAAAAUAAGAAGGCUCAACAUAGCUAACUCGAACUCCCGAAUGUAUCAACGAAUCUCCUAUUGAUGAUCUUGAAUACUUGUGUCUGCAUCAUGAAAAGAUGCAGGCCAAAUGGCUCAGUACGUGGAAUGUACGAGCAUGUAAGGAAAAUUCUAAAACAUAAAGAUAAGCUUGAAACUUGAUAAAAAGAAAACAUACUUACCUCUUCUCAAACUUACUCAACUCAAGGAAUACUUAAGGAUAUUCAAAACUACUCAAACUUACUCAACUCAGAAGUGCUCAUGUAUAAUAUAAUCAACUCAGAGAUUAGAUACUCAACUCAAAGAUAUGAUAUUUGACUUUGUGUACUCAACUCAAUAUAAAGCAACAAUACACAUGCAAUAUAUGUAAAGCUUCAUAAAAUAGUAAAAAUAACUUAGUUCGUUAAAGAAAUUGCAAUAACAAACUCAACUUUACUUAUAUAAUAAAGUAAUAUAGUUUCUAUGGGAGUUUCUAUAACCGACAACCACUACUAUGAGACUAAGUGGUGAUAUAACGUCUUGCCCACGCAGCCAUAACUGUCCUAUAGAUUACUGUCAUAUAGAACGCUUAACUUAGUGGAUCCACUAGCUUAUGCUAAAAGCUUCUUAAGAAGUCAUCUAAAUAGUAUGAUCCUUUACUACCCAUGAUGGCUACAUGGUUUAUGGAGAUGUGAGUUAUCUGAACUCAAAUUCGCCCCAUAUCGGUGCUUGAUACUACUCCCAAAAUAUACUUAGCUCAUAUAUUUGUAAAAGCAAAACUCAUUCUUUAGUUUGAGAUAAUUACUCAAAAACUUAGCUUAAAAGCUCUCUUGGAAUCGAUGUUCCCUUUCUUGCUCAAAACUCUUUUGGAAAUCUCAGUUUCCUCUCAUCUUAAAUGUGAAAACAUUACUCUGGGGAAUACUUAGUUCCCAUAUAUCAUUUUAAAGAAAAUGAACUUUACUCUUACUCUUUACUCAACUUCAAAGCUUAAGUCUUAAAACAAAGUUUAAACAUUUGUAAAGGACUUCUUAAAAAUAUGGUUCACGCCAAAUUAUUGACUUGAAUGACUCAAUGCAAGGUUUUCAAUAACCAUAGAUAGAACUCAAAUAAUUGGAACUCAAGAACUUCAAUGAUACUACUAAUUUCAAGAAUGCUCAACUCAGAGGGUUCAUCCGGAAUUAUGAGCAUGAACUACUCAACUCAAGGACUCAAAGAUACUUCUCAUCUCAAAAUUGUUCGAUUUAUAAUGUUCAUGCGGAAUUAUGGGCCUUCAGUCGACCGACGGCCCGUCAGUCAGCUCCGUCGAUGUUCCAGUCAACUUUCAGUCUUCAGUCGCGAACGACGGUCAACGAGUACCAACCUUUAGUCGACUCACGGCCUGUCAAUCAGCUCUGUCGAUGUGCCGUCAGUGACUCCGACAGUUUUUAAGUCAGGGGUCUUUUGGUUUUUCCUAUAUCGUUUGGCCCCUAAGCUACUUCGUUUAGACCCUAAAUUAUGAGGUUUUAGUCAAUUUAAGCCUAGAAACAUAACUAGAACUUACCUAAGUCAAAUCAUUAAUUAAAACUUAGAAAAUUAGAGCGUAAGAGGAGAAGAGAGGUCAAGAACGCAGCAAGUUUUCUUCAGUUCCAGCGAAGAAAUCAAAGGAUUUCUUCGUGGAAUUCGUCACCAGGUAUGUGGGAUUUCACUAGUGGGUUCCUUUCGCCCAUUAGGUCCCUAGAAUUUAGUCAGUUUCUUGAUAUCAUGAUUAUGAACAGACCUAGGAUUUCUAGAAUUAUAGCAGAUCAUCAUGAAUUAGUUAUUAACAUGUUCCAAAUCAGAUUAUCAUGUUAUUACUUCGUUUCUCGCAUGAAUUUCAGAACCCUAGCUAUGUAUUUCUUUAGUUCUUGAAUUACACAUGCUAGGUCAGAUAUCUCAGUUAUUCAGUUAUACAUGCCUCAGUUAUACAUGCCUCAGUUUAUGAAUGCAUCAUUAUCAGAUAAAUUGUUGCAUUCUCAGUUUGCAUGUUCAGUUUCGAGCUAUCCAGUAUUUACAGAAAUUCAGUCAUAACCAGUUAACUACUUAAUUCAUUGGGAGUAGCAUAAUACCGAGUUGGACUAGGGUUCAGCGUACCCAAAUAGUCCCAGAACUACUAGCCAUGUAGGUUGUAAGUCCCCACUGUGGGCAUCAUUUCCGUGAUCACGCCAGCAUUCCUCUAUACCUUUGGCCGGGUAUAUUGGGUCCUCUCGAUGGGGCGUAUAUAUCGGACUCCACAUUUAGCUCGUGUGGUUUUAUUAUCGGUUAUUAGUAGCUCCCACAGUUCAAUCAGAUUCUAUUGCAUUGACCAUUUAUCAGUAUAUCCAUUAUUCAGUUUCAACAUGUUAUAAAUUGGUCACUACAUUCAGUUGUCUCAGCAUUAUGUAUCUAUAUCAUGUUCAGAUUAUGUCAAUGCUUAUUUGCUUUGUUCAGUUAUAUGUUAUUUCAGUUGUAUUCUAUCCUGCAUGCUUAGUACCUUUCAAGUACUAAUGCAUAGUCUGCGCUACAUCUUCUUGUAAUGUAGGUUCAGGUUCUCAGCAUCCAAAUCACGCUUAGAUCGGUUCCCGAUCUCUAGUUCGGCAGAAUCAGUGGUGAGUCCUCAUUCUCCGAGGACAAUAGUCAUGAGUUUCUUUUCAGUAUUUUUAGUCCUUUAGUUUUAGUUUUGCUAGACUUAGCUAGGGCCUGUCCCAGCAUUUCUAGUCAGUUAGAGGCUAUUUUCAGACAUAGAUUGACUCAGCUUGGUAUUGAGUUAAUAUCUUCUUUGUAUUAAACUCAUCAGUUAUCAUUUAUCUCAGUUAGAAUAUAUGGGUAUUCCCUAUCUUUUCAUUUUUAUUUAUGGUUUAGCUUCUGCAUCAGUUUAUUAUCUUCAGUAUGCUCAUGAUCAUGCCAGCAGGGUUAGCUUAGGAUCACUUGUGGUCCUAGGUCCCAUAUCCGCGUCUCGGGGGUAGUCUCGGGGCGUGACAAAGAUCCAUGACAUCCUAACUGAAUUGAAAAGUAAAUGAAAUCCUCCGGAAAUAAGGAGGUUCACCAUAGCUAACUCGAACUCCCGGAUGUAUCAACGAAUCUCCUGUUGAUGAUCCCGAAUAAGUGUGUCUGCAUCAUGAAAAGAUGCAGGCUAAAUGGCUCAGUACGUGGAAUGUACGAGCAUGUAAGGGGAAUUCUAAAACACAAACAUAAGCUUGAAACUUGAUAAAAGGAAAUAUACUUACCUCUUCUCAAACUUACUCAACUCAAGGAAUACUCAAGGAUAUUCAAAACUACUCAAACUUACUCAACUCAAAAAUACUCAAGGAUAAGAUACUCAACUCAGAGAUUAGAUACUCAACUCAAAGAUAUGAUAUUCGACUCUGGGUACUCAACUCAAUAUAAAGCAACAAUACAUAUGCAAUAUAUGGAAAGCUUUAUAAAACAGUAAAAAUAACUUAGUUCGUUAAAGAAAAUGCAAUAACAAACUCAACUUUACUUAUAUAAUAAAGUAAUAUAGUUUUUGUGGGAGUUUCUCUAACUGACAACUAUCACUAUGAGACUAAGUGGUGAUACAUCGUCUUGCCCACGCUGCCAGAGCUGUCCUAUACUUUGCCGUCAUAUAGAACGCUUAACUUAGUAGAUCCACUAGCUUAUGCUAAAAGCAUCUGAAUGAGUCAUCUAAAAAGUAUGAUCCUUUACUACCCAUGAUGGCUACAUGGUUUAUGGAGACAUGAGUUAUCUGAACUCAAACUCGCCCCAUAUCGGUGCUCAAUACUACUCCCAAUAUAUACUUAGCUCAUAUAUUUGUAAAAACGAAACUCUUUCUUUAGUUUGAGAUAAUUACUCAAAAACUUAGCUUAAAAGCUCUCUUGGAAUCGAUGUUCCCUUUCUUGCUCAAAACUCUUUUUGGAAAUCUCAGUUUCCUCUCAUCUUAAAUGUGAAAACAUUUACUCUUGGGAAUACUUAGUUCCCAUAUAUCAUUUUUAAAGAAAAUGAACUUUACUCUUACUUUUUACUCAACUUCAAAGUUUAAGUUUUAAAACAAAGUUUAAACAUUUGUAAAGGACUUCUUAAAAAUAUGGUUCACGCCAAAUUAUGGAUUUGAACGACUCAAUGCAAGGUUUUCAAUAACAAUAGAUAGAACUCAAAUAAUUGGAACUCAAGAACUUCAAUGAUACUACUAAUUUCAAGAAUGCUCAACUCAGAGGGUUCAUGCGAAAUUAUGAGCAUGAAUUACUCAACUCAAAGACUUAAAGAUGCUUCUCAUCUCAAGAUUGUUCGACUUAUAAUGUUCAUGCGAAAUUAUGGGCAUAAACAACUCAACUCAUGGACUUCAUGGGUAAUAGGUAAUGAUCCCAUGAUUAGGAUUAUAAUCUCGGAAGGGUUAGGAACUCGAUACUCAAGGCUUAUAAUUUGAAGAUACUACUUCUUUCAAAGAUACUAAACUGAUGGAGUUCAUGCGGAAGUUAUGGGCAUGAACGACUUGACUCAAGGGUCAAAAUAUCAAUAAGGAACUCAGGUAUACGACUCUUCUCAUUCUCAUACUUACUUAUCAAUACUAAACUCAAAUCGAUGGUGGAUCUCAAAGGAUUCACAAUUAAACUCAAAGACUUUCUUGAACUCUACUCUUAACUCUCUCUUGAAUGUGAAUUAUGAAUUCAAGAGUUAUGGUUCAUGAUAUGAAGGAUCUAGGUGAUAGUGUAGACUCAUGAAUAUAUUCUCCUUACUCUCAUGCUCACUUACUCGAGUCUUGAAACAAGUUAUUAGAAGUUGUAGAAAACUCCUCAAAGGGACUUUCUCAAAAAUAUUUGAGAGAACUCUCAAGACUUGACUCUCAACUCUACCUUGAAUGUGAUUUAUCAAUUCAAGGUUGUGAUUUGUGAUAGGAAUGAUCUCGUGAUGUUUAGGAGUGUUUAUAGAUAGUUAAACAUAAAAAACUAUCAAGAAAUCACUGUCUAGAAGCAAGUCCGUGACGCGGAGAUGAAUUAAAAUAUUUGGUCGCGAAUUAACUUUUGAGGCAGAGAGGUUUGUGACCUCUCCGCGAUGCGAAGACAAACUUUAUGAAAUGGGGAGGCAGGUCCGCGAUGCGGAGCAAGGUGCUAGAUUCACCCGACUUUUUCCUUCUUCGUUUUCUAACCCCAAUUCACCUAAACUCGGUUCUUUUUCUCAAUUCCUCUUUAGAUUUAGAUACGCAGCACAUGAACACAAGAGCCUACUCAAAAACAACUGCAAAAUCGACAUGAUUUCAUCAAGAACUCAAUAAUCUCAUCUAAACUCAAGAACUAAAGUCAAUUUCAAGAACAUCAUACUUUCAACUUUCUAGAACGAACUUAACGUUGAAAUUAACAUGAUUGGCGUGUGGGUGAACAAACACAACACUAUGGAAGCUUACAUACCUGAAAGAACCAUCUUUUUGAAGGACUUGACGGAAAAUCUUGAAAGAUGAACCCUAGCCUUAGCGUUUCUUGAAUCCCUUGAGCGUAGAAGUUUUUUGGAGUGGAUGAGAGGGUUUGAUUUAAGAAAACUGAUUUUCUACUCGUUUAGGGCAAUUUAGAUGACCUCCUAAGGGUUUCUAGGAGUAAAAUACCUUUAAAGAAAUAAUUAAAACGAGCUGAGAGUCGAAAUAAUUUUUCACCAGGCAGUGAGGUCCGUAUUAGCUCCGUAACGCGGAGCCAUCGCGGAGCUGCUGCCAGGUUUGGGCAUCAUUAGUAAAUCAGUCAUUACUUUUUACUCAGAGCUCGAAAUUUAGCAAACUCGGUGGCGUUGGAAAGAUGCCUCGAAGUUCUUAAAUUUUCCAUCUUGUAGCUCACCUAAGUCAUCCUGUACUAGGAGUUAUGGUCAUUUGAAGUUGACCCAAAACUUAAGAAAACUUAGGAAUGACUUGAAUGCUUUUAUCUUUAGUUCUUCUUGGAACUCAAGAUGCUACAUCUAGUGACCUUAAUACUUAAGAAAUUUUAAAUCCUUGCAAAAAAUCUCACUCACUACGAAGAACGGUUCGAGUCUUAGCUCAAAAUAUUUCUAGGGUGUUACAACAUAAAAAAAAGUUUUAAUCACUUGAAUAUCAAAAUAUAGGCAUGUUAUUAACAAUUUUAUAUUGUCUUUUAAUUUUUAUUAAAAUCAUAUAUCAAUUAUGUGAUAUUUAAGAAAUAUAUAUUAUAAUUAUAUGCGAUAGUUUAGUGCAAUAUAAUUCUUACAGAUGAAUGAUACUUUCGUAAAUUAAUAUUUUAAAAUUAAUUUAGUUUUAGUUGCAUUUAUAUUGUAUUUCAUUUUAUUGUAUUUUGUCUCUUUAUUUUUCUUUUUUUAGAGAUGUGUAUAUUUUUAAAACCAAAUAUAAAUUUAUAUUUUAAUUUAAAUGAUCGUACACCAAGCAGACUCUUAGUCAAUCACCAUGAAUUGUUUUGUUUUUUAAAUCAUGAUUCAAUUCUAUUUUUAUAAAACAUUAGAUUUGAAUAAUUUUAAAAAUUAUUUCAUUAUUUUAAAAUAAAAUUAAUAGAUCAUAUAUUCACCAAAUAAUUUGUGUAUGCUUCGCUUUUUCUUGAUUACAUUUUUUACUGCUUAUUAUUAUAUAGUCAAAUUUGGCAAACAUUUUUUUUAUUGUAUAUUGCAACAAAAAAUUAAGAUUUUGGAGCAUUUUUUUAGGAAGAGUAUAUUGUAGUUAAUUACUAUCAAAAUUUGAAUUUAAAAAACUUUAAAAAGUCAAAGUACUAAUAAAAAUUAGAUUGAUAGUACUUUGUCAAUAUUUAGUGUUUGCAAUUUUUAUUUUUAUAAUUUAAAUUAAUUUUAAUAAUACUCUAAAUGUAUUUAUUUUGAAUGAGAAAAUAGUACGUAGUGGAGUCAUAUUAACGUGUAGUUUUGUUGAUUUUUGUGUGUAUUUUUCAUUUGUUUUUCAUUUGCUUCUUAAUUAUUUUCAAAAUAAUUAAAUAGAAUUUAUUAUCAAUAAUUAAAGUUACAAAACAUUAAAAAAAAUAAAAUAAAAUAAAAUUAAUAGCAAUAAUUACCUAAGGUAUGUCGUGUAAUGAUCCUCUAGAUCAUUUUCUUUAUUUUCUGAUAUUUUCAGUGUUUAGAGCUUUCCUAUAGUGACCACAAGUCAUAUAUGACUUGUUGGGACUAACAGUUCGAUUUUCGGGUCGUUCGUUUGGAUUUUGUGCAAUUUUUCGUAUUUUGAAACUUGAACGGUUGACUACGGUCAAAAGUUCAGAAAGAUGUCCUAGGAAUGCAACUGUCAUGACCCGAGCCUACACCCUAGACAUGGCCGACACUCGAGAAUCAUUGUUGGUCCCCAAGCGAACCCUCAUCCUGGCUUACUUCAAGCGAAAGACUAACUCAAGCAUACAUAAGCAUCAAACUGAAAGAAACGUUUAAAACAGUGUACUGAAUCUCAAAACUUCGCUAAAUAUACUGAGUAUGAAACAUAAGUUUUAAAUUAAAUAUAUGAAAUUGAAAGACUCUAAAAAUUGUCUAUCUAUGAAGCCUCUACUAUACAAAAAUGAGUGUCAGGACAAGACCCACGACUCCUCAAAAGAAUUACUACUAACAAUAAAACUGGAGUCCUCCGGAAGCAAGGAGGUCUUACUCAAAAGCUGACGAGUGGAUGAAGGGAUCUCAACAUACUCUUGUUAAGGAUCUUAAGAACAUGUACCCGCAUCAUUAAAAGAUCCAGGUUGAAUAACAUCAAUACAUUGAAUGUUCGAGUAUGUAAUAUAGUUGAAUAACAAAUAACUGAAAGAAAGGACUGCUCUCGUCUGUGGUGCCAGUCCAACAAUCUGGUGGUCCAGCAGCCUCGGCUCGCCUUGCGCUACUUUCAGAAAAUAAAAAAUAAAAAAUAGAAAGUAAUAGAAAGUAGAAUUCCUGAGUCUGGCAAUAAAUAACAAUGAACUCAAGUUGAAUGUAAAUAAAUAAAGGAGUAAAAUCAUUUAAAGUUUUUCAAAAUACUUUCUCAUCUCUUAACUCAACAUAAUAAGUGAUAUAUAAAAAUACACUUUAACUCUAUUGGGAGAUUCUCUAACUGACAACCAUCACUAUGAGCUACAUGAUGAUACAACGUCUCGCCCACACUGCCAGAACUGUCAUAUACCUUGUCGGCGUAUAGAACACCUCAACUAAGUGGAUCCACUAAGCUAUGCUUAAAAGCAAUAAUGAAUCACCUAAUAAGUAUGACCUUUUACUAAUGUUGGCAUACAUGGUUUAUGGGGGUUGUGACUUGUCUGAACUCUCUCCCAUAUCAGUGCUCAAUACUACUCCCAAUAAUAUAUACUCAUGCUCAUAUGUUUGAAAAAACAUAACUCUUCCUCUGGAUUGAGAUAAUUUCUCAAACUACCUUCUUAAAAGAGGUAACUGCUCUUGAAAUAACUUUUGAACUCAUAACUCAUUUAGAAAUCUCAGUUUCUCUUUUAUCAAUGUAAAAAUUGAUGCCUCUAGGAAUACAUAGUCCCCUUAUAUUCAUACUUGAAAACUCUUUCUCAAAAAAAUAAAAAUCAUAUUAUAAUAUGAUCAUUGAUGACUUGGGAAGUCAUAUACUGCAUAAGCAUUAAUGGUAUAUCUAGAUACCAUACUGCUUAAACAUUGAUGGCAUACUCGGUUGUCAUACUAAUCAUGUUUUAGAAAUUCUUUCUUCAAAACUCAUCUUUACUUCCUCAAAACUCAGUUUAAAACUCAAGUGUUGGCUUUAAAAAACUUGUCAAAAUUUAUAACUCAAUUCAUAGGGUUCAUGCGGAAUUAUGGGCAUGAACGAUUCAAAUCAGGGAUCUUAAGAGCAAUAUGAAAACUUAGUACUCAGAACUCAAGAACUCAAAACUCAACAAUAUUACUCAUCUCAUGAAUACUCAAUUCAUAGGGUUCAUGUUGAAAUAUAGACAUGAACGAAUCAAUUCGAGAAUCUUAAUGCAUAACAUAUAGAAAUUAAAUAAUUAGGAAUAGAAUUUGAAAAAGAAAUAGGAACUCAAGAACUCAAAAUCAACUUAUCUCAAGAAUACUCAAAUCUAGGGAUAUAAUCCUAGAUUACUCUUUUACUGAUUUGAAAGUAGAUGUAGGGCGUGAGGACGAAUUAGUCCAACACUAUGAUAGCCUUACAUACCUGGAAGAACAAGGUUCAUGAAGAGUCUUGAAGAAGAACUUGAUUAGAAGCCUUGAAAUCCUAGCUUAAAGGAGAAAAAGCAAGAAGACCUUUCUUGAGAUUUCUUGAAUUAGUUUCUUGAAACUUUAUGAUCAAGAAUUAGGAUUCUCAUUAAUGAUUCAUAAUUGCAUGAAGAAAAUUGAGUUGGAAAGAAUGGAAUUCUUGGAGAAAGACUUAUCUUGAAGAAGAAUCUUGAAAAAAUUGAAAGAAUCUCGAAUGGAGUCUUCUACUUUGAUUUUUCCCUUAGGGUUUUGUCUUAUGGUUUGAGAGAGAAGAGAAUGGGGGAUUAAGAUAUGAAAAUUUGAUUGGUUUUGGUCUUUAAUUAGUCAAGAAAUUAUUUUAGUGUUUUCUUAGAGGUAAAAAGACAAAAAAAGACCCUUUUUAAUGAUUUUAUGUCGGCUAAUUCAUCACUGCACUGUAGCAAAUUACUUGUAAUGACCCUCCUGGUCAUUUCUAUGUUUUGCCUUGGUGUGUCGUUUAGAGCGUUCCUGUAGCGAUCUCAAGUCAUUUAUGACUUGCUGGGACUGACAGUUCGGUCACCUGGUUGUUCGUUUGACUUUUGUGUGAGUUUUAGUGUUUUUGGAGCUUAUGAACCUUGAAUGAUCGUUUUCGAUCAAAAGUUCAAGAAGAUGACAUCAGAAUUCAAUUCUAACAAUUCCAUCAGCUCCAAAAGGGUCAUUUUAGGCUAGUAGCAUAGUCGACAUCACUCCCGAGGUUUUCAGUGUGAGUCGGUGCGAUUAGGCGUUUUAACUUUAAGUUUAAGCCUAAGUCUGACUUUAGUCAACAUUCUGAGUAAACACACUCGGAUGAGAAUUUCGUCAGAGCAGUUAGCUCCGAAAUGUCGAGUUUGGUCUAGAUUGACCCUUCUUUUGUGUCUCGAGGUUUCCGAUAUUUUUAAGACCCCUUUUGUGGUUUCUAACUUAAAAUGACAUUUGAGUGUGGAACCCACUUUUGUCAAGAUGACCUCUUUGGAAAUUUUGACUGCGCCAUUGAGUCCGGAAUAUCAAAUUUGGUAUGGUUGUAUAUCUCGUUUGCGUGCACGGGGUUCCGAACGAUAUUGGAGCACCCUGUCGGAGUUUUAAGUUUUGGAAAGAAAUUGCAGAAAAAUCUGCUAUAAAUGCAGAAAAUAUAAGCAGCCCUUUCCAAACCUAAAACACUCAUAACUCUCUCAUCUCUCAACCGAAUUAGGCAAUUCGAAGUACGGGAGCUUCGUAUUUUCGGUGGCUUCACUGUAGAGUGUUCGGAAGUUGUCGGGUGUGCGUCGUUCGAGAUAAAUUUGGUUAUAAACCUGACUGUUAGGGCCUUUUUCGAGUUUUUGUUUUUGGCAUCCUUGUUUUGGUCAUAUCUCACUCAUUUUAGCUCGAUUUUGGGUGAUUCAAAGUCUCACGUGUUGGGAAUUGUCGUGAAUUUGUCGUAGAGUGUUCAAGGAAUGUUGGGCACCUUUCGAUUCUCAUAACUUUUGAGUUUAGACUGCUGCAUGUUUUCUUUUAAGUUGAUUAAAGUGUGAUUUUUCCUUGCAUGUUGGGUUUUGCUGCGUUUUGUGCCCCGAAUUGUGUUCCAUUUUGGAACACAAGUUCGGGGUAUUGUUUUGGGUCUCUUGACGGAGUCAAAUACGAACAGUUCGGUGCGGGUACCACGAUUCCCAUUUUGAUCCAAAUUUGACCCAUCUCUGUUUGUUGUGAUUUUUGUGUCUAAACGACUGUACUAACGUUGUGAUCCUAUAUUUGAUAGAGUGGCAGCGUUUAAGGGUCGUUCGGGAAGGAAAAGCUCCGACAAAGUGAUUUAGAGCACGCGCGGUCGGCCUGAAGGUAGGCUACGACUUCCUUUCUUUUAGAUUGAGCUUAAUUAUGUAAAAGCAUGUCGAUUGGAGUGAAUUGGGGAUGGGUACCAGUUUCCUACUUUACUUUGAUUAGAUACCUUAUAUUAGUAUCGAUUGGCCAUAUUUCAGGGUAGUAUCAUGUUAACCGGUUUAGUAGAGUUGCAUGCCUAUGUGUUAAAUGCUAUUGUAUGCUUGUAUGCUAUGCGUUAUAUGCCUUGUUUAUCCUUAACUGUAAGAAUGAUGUCCUCAGUCUAGGUUAGGCUAGCAUUGCCUUAGACUUAUGACCCGUGUGGAAUGGAUAGUCUUGACUUUCUGCCAACGUUGUUCGGAUAACUUAGCUCUUUGUAGACUGGAGUAGCAGACUUGAGUCUGAUAGUUUGAGCCUUAGAUUAGGCGUUAUCGCUGCUUGCUGCACUUCUGUAUCUUCUCCUUCUAGUCCCGACGCAUUCUCGAAGGUUUGGUACAUCACUAAAGGUGUGGAGUUGAGAUAGUAUAGGCUUGGAGCCUUUUCUGUGAUUUCUUAGAGUGGAGAGCGUUCCAUGGUGGUUCUUGUUGGAUUGGAUCCUAUUAGAGAUACCAUCACCCAUGGGGUCGUUCUUUCUAGCUGGGCUAGGAGAGUAUCGCUGGCUGGGUAGACUCGGUGAUAUGAGCGAUCUCCCUCGGGCCUCUCUUUCUAGCUGGGCUGGGAGUGUGCUGCUGGCUGGGUGUCCCCGGGUCGCUCUUUCUAGUUGGGAUGGGAGCUGAUUGCAUGGUAGGACGACUCGCGAUAUCUACCUCACUCACGGGUCCCUCUUUCUAGCUGGGCUGGGAGUGGACUGUUUGGUUGGGUGCCUCCUAGGGUCACUCUUUCUAGCUGGGCUGGGAGUGCAUUGCUGGCUUGGUGGAGUUUGAUGGAUUAUCUUGGUUACUUUGGGCUGGGAGCCCGGUUUUCUUCUUUCUCAUUAGACUUAGUUAUUCUGUGUACCUGUCGGGCUUAUGGGCGUCCGUUCAGGUUUUAUUUAAACUUAUGCACUAGUGUACCUUCUGGGUUUAUGGGGGUCUAGUAUGCUCAUGUGCUUUUUUUUCAUAUCCCCUUUGACUUUUCUGUGUCUAGAUGCCAUCAUUUCUUAUUGUUUUUACCCUUUUUGCUGAGUCGGCCUAUGAUGCCUACUGAGUACAUGUUGUUUUGGUACUCAUGCUACGCUCUGCAUCUACUUCGUGAUCUAGGUCCCAAUACCAGUUACCAGCGGUGAUUAGUUCCAGUUUUCUUUUGCAGCUGUGAUUAGGAGAUGAGGGCGAGCACUUGGCGUUUUGGGUUUGUCUUGUCUCCUUCUUUUGUUUUAACUAGUCUUGUUGCCUUUGAGACACGCUUUGUUGUGGUCCACUUUUGGGACUUGUACUCUUUAUUAGAUAGCUCUGUACUAGUGACUUCCAGGUUCUGGGAGGGAUUUCUGUAUAUAUUUAUUUUGGUUUUCUUCCGCCUUGUUGUCCUUGUUUAGAUUAUUAUUUUCUCUAGUUUCUGCCCUUUCGCUCAUUGCUUGAUGUUGUGGGUUACGGGUUGGCUUACCUACUGGUAGGGCACUAUGGUGCCAUCAUGACUCGAGAAAUCGGGUCCUGACAAGUUGGUAUCAGAGCCCCAGGUUCAUCGGUCUCACUUGUACUGAGCUAACGUCUAGUAGAGUCCUGCGGAUCGGUGCGGAGACGUCCGUAACUUAUCUUCGGGAGGCUACAGGAUGUCUUUAGGAAGAUUUCCUCUUUUGUUUCACUUUCGUGCAACGUGUGUCUUAUCGGUUCUUUGAAAUCUCACUUGUUUCACUAUUUCGCAGGAUAGCUCGAUCGCGAGGUGGCAAGGCCAGGUGUGAUGCACCCGGGCCUGUAGAUAGACCCCCAGCUUGGGGUAGACGCCGACCCCAAGGUCGAGACAGGGUCACAGCACCAGCCCAGGAGAGAGAUGAAGAUCCAGAGCCAGUAGCAGACCCUCCAGCACCUCGUAUACCAGAUCAGCCGGUGGGGCCGAGGCCAGCCCAACCGGCACCCGGACUAGUUUGGACUCCAGAUUUCCAGGAAGCUAUUGCUCAGCUCCUGGGUGUGCUUGGGGUUAUGCAGCAUCCACCCGCCCUAGCUACACCAGCACUAGUACCGCAGGAUCAGCCUACAGUGAGGGCGCCUCAGGUCCAGGUACCACCUGAGGGAGUACAUCCCUUGGCAGCGAACAUACCUAUCCCGCUUGAGGACCAGAAAAUGCUUGGUGUGUUUCUCAGGUUGAUGCCACCGAGGUUUUCUGGGGCUGUGGGUGAGGAUGCCCACGAGUUUCUUACUACCUUCCGUGAGAGGCUUCGCACUUUGGGUCUAGUGGAGUCUAGAGGGGCCAACUUCAUUGCUUACCAGCUAGAUAGGCCAGCCAGGCAAUGGUGGCGCACAUUCAUUCAGACUAGUCUAGUUAGAUCUCCACCGGUAUCAUGGGAUCAGUUUUCUCAGGCAUUCUUGGCCAAGUUUAUCCCUCGUAGCGUCAGAGACCGCCUCAGGGAUCAGUUCUACAGGUUGGAGCAAUGCUCCAUAUCGGUGGCAGAGUACGAGACUAGGUUCCACGAGCUCUCUCGUCAUGCCUAGAUGAUAUUACCUACAGAAGAUGAUAGAGUUAGGUGCUUUGUUCGUGGGUUGAGAUUACAGCUUCGACUUGAGUCCAAGUCCUUAGUUUCUGCGAGUCAAUCUUUUUUAGACGUAGUUGACCAUGCCAGUACUAUGGAGCAUCUUCGUCGCGAGGCCCAAGAGGGCAGAAAGAAGAGGACUAGGCAUGAGGGCAGCUACAAUGACUUCUGCCCCAAGUCUAGGGAUUAUUAUGAUAGGACCGGACGACGGUUUCGACAGGGUCAGUUUAGCCGGCCUACCCAGGCCUCUCUUCAGGUAUCAGAUGGUGGUCGGAGCGAGGCCAGUUCAAGUUAGGGCCGUGAGGUGUUUCAGUAGGGUUCUUUAGGCCAUGGUGGUCAUUGUUCUGGGAGUCGUCCUCGACAGGGUUGCUAUGAGUGUGGUGAGAUGGGUCAUUGGGCCAGGGACUACCCUCAGCAUAGUCGGAUUGCUCCCGCUCCUCAGGCAGCUCCCCCAUCUUUACCAGCACCUCCAGCUAGAGGCCGUGGUCAAGGUCAGGAUCGUAGAGGUGGUCAUCAGGGUAUACGGGGUGGUCACCGAGGAAGCAGGUCAGGUGAUAGGUUUGAUGGUCAGGGCAGAGGCAGACAUAACCAUUUCUAUGCAGCUCCAACGAGGGUGGAGGCUGAGGAGUCAGACGAUGUGAUCAUAGGUACGAUUCUUUUAUGCCAGCAGCCCGCCUUGGCAUUAUUUGAUUCGGGCUCUACUUUUUCAUAUUUUUCUAUUUACUAUGCCUCUCGCUUUAGUAUUAUAUCUGAGCCUCUGGUAGCAUCGUUGCAUAUGUCGACCCCCGUGGGUGAGUCAUUAGUAGUGGAUCAGGUAUUUCGAUCUUGCUUAGUUACUAUCCAGGCAUGACACCCGGGCUAACCUCAUAUUGCUUGACAUAGUUGAUUUCGAUAUGAUUAUAGGAAUGGAUUGAUUAUCCCCUUAUUGCGUCGUUUUAGAUUGCUUCUUUAAGACCUUUACCUUAGUCAUUCUUGGUAUUCCUCCGGUGGUGUGGCAGGGAUCUGGUGGUAGCACACCAGUUGGGGUUAUCUCUUUUAUUCGGGCUAGGAGGCUAGUGGCUAGCAGAUGCUGAUCAUAUUUGGCAUUUGUGCGUGAUGUGAGUAGGGAGGUCCCUCCGGUUGAGUCAGUUAGUGUUGUUCAUGACUUCUUAGAUGUGUUUUCUACCGACCUACCUGGCCUAACCCAAGAGCGUGAUAUUGAUUUUUCGAUUGAGCUUGAGUUGGGUAUUCGACCUAUUUCUAUUUCGCCAUAUCGGAUGGAUCCUGCAGAGCUCAAGAAGCUAAGAGUUCAGUUUCAGGAUCUCUUGGGUAAGGGAUUUAUCAGUCCUAGUGUAUCACCUUGGGGCUCUCCUGUUCUUUUUGUUAAGAAGAAGGACGGUACGAUGCGCAUGUGCAUUGACUAUAGGCAGUUGAAUAAGGUGACAAUGAAGAAUCGAUAUCCUCUGCUUCGGAUUGAUGACCUAUUUGACCAGCUACAUGGAGCUUCAGUGUUCUCUAAGAUUGAUUUGAGGUCCGGUUACCACCAGUUGAGGAUUAGGGCAGCGGACAUCCCUAAGACUGCAUUUAGGACCCAUUAUGGCCAUUAUGAGUUCUUGGUGAUGUCAUUUGGGUUGACUUAUCCCUCUGCUGCCUUUGUGAACUUGAUGACGCGCGUGUUUAGGCCUUAUCUUGAUUCCUUCGUCAUAAUCUUCAUUGAUGACAUUUUGAUAUACUCGCGGAGUAGGGGUGAUCAUGAGCAGCAUUUAAGAGUUGUGCUCCAGACUUUGAGAGAUUAGCGGAUUUAUGCCAAGUUCUCAAAGUGCCAGUUUUGGUUAGACUCUAUAGUGUUCUUGGGGCACGUUGUAUCCAAGGAGGGCAUUAUGGUAGAUCCGGCGAAUAUUGAGGCUAUUCGUGAUUAGGCUAGGCCUACCUCAGUUAUUGAGAUUCGGAGCUUCAUCGAACUAGCAGGCUACUACAGACGAUUUGUGGAGGGUUUCUCUACCUUGGCAGCACCUUUGACCCGGUUGACUUGUGUUGAUGUUCCCUUUGUUUGGUCAAAGGAAUGUGAGGCGAGCUUUUUGAGGCUCAAGGAGUAAUUGACCACCGCUCCUAUAUUGACUCUUCCAGUUGAGGGCGAGGGCUUCACAGUUUAUUGUGACGCAUCCAGCGUUGGUUUUGGUUGUGUAUUGAUGCAGCAGGGCCGUGUUAUUGUUUAUGCGUCGAGGCACUUAAGAUUCAUGAGCGCAACUACCCCACCCAUGACUUGGAGUUGGCGGCGGUAGUUUUCGCACUUAAGAUUUGGAGGCACUACUUGUAUGGAGUUCGAUGUGAGAUCUAUACCGAUCAUAGGAGUCUUAGUAGAUCAUGAGCCAGAGGGACCUUAAUUCGAGGCAGCGUCAUUGGAUUGAGCUCCUGAAGGACUACGACCUCUCUAUUAUUUAUCAUCCAGGCAAGGCAAUGUGGUAGCGAACGCCUUGAGCCGGAAGGCGGUGAGUAUGGGUAGUCUAGCCUUCUUAUCUCUUGAGGAUCGACUCUUGGCUUUGGACAUUUAGUUCUUAGCUAAUAGCAUGGUUCUGUUGGAUAUCUCAGAUUCUAGAUGCGUCUUGGAGUAUAUGGGAGUUCAAUCUUCUUUGCUUGAUAGGAUCCGUGGUUGUCAAUUUGAGGAUGAGGCCUUGGUGGUCCUUAGAGAUCGAGUAUUAGCAGGUGAUGGUGGUCAGACUACCUUAGAUCCUGAUGGAGUGUUGAUAUUCGUCGGCCGCAUCUAUGUUCCGAGAGUUGGGGAUUUGAUACAGUUGAUACUUUCUAAGGAUCAUGAGUCUAGAUACUCUAUCCAUUCGGGCACAACGAAGAUGUAUCGUGAUUUGAGGCAGCAUUACUUGUGGAGUGGCAUGAGGAGAGAUAUUGCUGACUUUGUUUCCCGUUGCUUGUGCUUCCAACAGGUAAAGGCCGAGCAUUUGAGGCCUGGUGGUGAGUUUCAGAGAUUACCCAUUUCGGAGUGGAAGUGGGAUCGCAUUACUAUGGAUUUUGUGGCUGGCUUACCGCGGACUUCUAGAGGUGUUGAUAGCAUUUGGGUCAUCGUAUAUUGAUUGACCAAGUCAGAACGUUUCCUUCCUAUUCAGUCUUCAUUUAGCGCCGAGAGGUUAGCUCGUAUCUACAUUCGGAAGGUGGUUCGACUUCAUGAGGUGCCAGUUUCUAUUAUAUCAGAUCGGGGUUCUCAGUUCACGUCUAGCUUUUGAGGGACCUUUCAGGAUGAGUUGGGCACUCGAGUUGACCUUAAGGUGGUUCGACUUCAUGAGGUGCCAGUUUCUAUUAUAUCAGAUCGGGGUUCUCAGUUCACGUCUAGCUUUUGAGGGACCUUUCAGGAUGAGUUGGGCACUCGAGUUGACCUUAGCACAACUUUCCACCUGUAGAUUGAUGGUCAGUCGGAGUGUACUAUUCAUGUCCUUGAGGACAUGCUGCGGGCUUGUGUUUUGAAAUUUGGUGGUCAUUGGGACCAGUUCUUGCCAUUGGCGGAGUUUGGGUAUAACAACAGCUACCAUUCUAGCAUUCAGAUGGCCUCGUUCGAGGCCUUGUAUGGUAGGCGUUGUCGCUUUCCGGUGGGCUGGUUUGAGUCUACAGAGCCUAGGCCGCGGAGUACAUAUUUGAUUCAAGAGUCUUUGGACCAGGUGAGAGUGAUUAAGGAUAGACUUAGGACGGCUCAGAGUAGGCACCAGAGUUGUGCAGAUCGGAGGCGGUCGACCUUUGAGAUUCUUUGUUGGUGAUCGGGUAUUUCUCCGUGUGUCACCCAUGAAGGGCUUGAUGAGGUUUGGGAGGCGGGGCAAGCUUUGCCCCAGGUACAUUGGGCCUUUUGAGAUACUCCGGACAGUUGGGGAGGUUGCUUAUGAGUUGGCCCUACCUCCAACAUUUUCAACCAUCCACCCGAUUUUCCAUGUCUCGAUGUUGCGCCGGUAUGUUACUGAUGAGUCCCAUGUGCUCCAGUAUGAUGCAGUCGAGUUGGAUGACCGUUUGACAUUUGUAGAGGAGCCAAUUGCCAUUCUAGCCAGUGAUGUGAGGAGGUUGUGCUCGAGAGCCAUUCCUAUUGUUAAGGUCCAUUGGAUGCAUCGUCCAGUCGAGGAGGCUACCUGGGAGACCAAGCAGGAGAUGCGAGAGCAGUUUCCCAGCUUGUUUGAGCCUUCAGGUACUUCUUGACCCUUACUUUCGCGGACGAAAGUCCUUCUUAGUAGUGGAUAUUGUAAUGACCCUCCUGGUCAUUUCUGUGUUGUGCCUUCGGUGUUUCGUCUAGAGCGUUCCUGUAGCGACCCCAAGUCAUUUAUCACUUGCUGGGACUUACAGUUCGGUCAACUGGUCGUUCGUUUGACUUUUGUGCGAGUUUUAGUGUUUUUGGAGCAUAUGAACCUUGAACGAUCAUUUUCGAUCAAAAGUUUAAGAAAAUGACAUCAGAAUCCAAUUCUAACGAUUCCAUCAGCUCUGGAAGGGUCAUUUUAGGCUAGUAGCAUGGUCGGCAUGACUCCCGAGGAUUUCAGUGUGAGUCAGGGCGAUUAGGCGUUUUAACUUUAAGUUUUAAAGCCUAAGUUUGACUUUAGUCAACAUUCUGAGUAAACACGCUUGGAUGAGAAUUUCGUCAGCGCGGUUAGCUCCGGAAUGUCGAGUUUGGUCUAGAUUGACCCUUCUUUUGUGUCCCGAGAUUUCUGAUAUUUUUUCGAGCCUUUUCUGUUAUUUCUUAGAGUGGACGGUGUUCCAUGGUGGCUGUUGUUGGAUUGGAUCCUAUUAGAGAUAUCAUCACCCAUGGGGUCGUUCUUUCUAGCUGGGCUGGGAGAGUAUCGCUGGCUGGGUAGACUCGGUGAUAUCAGCGAUCUCCCCCGAGCCUCUCUUUCUAGCUGGGUUGGGAGUGUGCUGCUGGCUGGGUGUCCCCGGGUCACUCUUUCUAGCUGGGAUGGGAGCUGACUGCAUGGUAGGACGACUCGCGAUAUCUACCUCACUCACGGGUCCCUCUUUCUAACUGGGCUGGGAGUGGACUGUUUGGUUGGGUGCCCCCUAGGGUCUCUCUUUCUAGCUGGGCUGGGAGUGCAUUUCUGGCUUGGUGGAGUCUAAUGGAUUAUCUUGGUUACUUUGGGCUGGGAGCCCGGUUUUCUUCUUUCUCAUUAGACUUAGUUAUUCUGUGUACCUGUCGGGCUUAUGGGGGUCCGUUCAGGUUUUAUUUAAACUUGCGCACGAGUGUACCUUCUGGGCUUAUGGGGGUCCAAUUAGGUUUAGUUUAGUUGUACUUAGUUUAUUUCUGGUAUGCUCGUGUGCUUUCUUUUCAUAUCCAUUUUGACCUUUGUGUGUCUAGAUUAUAUCCUUUCUUAUUGUUUUUACCCUUUUUGCUCAGUCGGCUUGUGAUGCCUACUGAGUACCUAUUGUUUUGGUACUCAUGCUACGCUCUGCAUCUACUUCGAGAUGCAGGUCCCAGUACCAGUUACCAGCGGUGAUUAGUUCCAGCCUUCUUUUGCAGCUGUGAUUCGGAGACGAGGGCAAGUACUUGGCGUUUUGGGUUUGUCUUGUCUCCUUCUUUUGUUUUAGCUAGUCUUGUUGCCUUUGAGACACGCUUUGUUGUGGUCCACUUUUGGGACUUGUACUCUUUAUUAGAUAGCUCUGUACUAGUGACUUCCAGGUUCUGGGAGUGAUUUCUGUAUAUAUUUAUUUUGGUUUGCUUCCGCCUUGUUGUCCUUGUUUAGAUUAUUGUUUUUGGUAGUUUCUGCACUUUCGCUCAUUGCUUGAUGUUAUGGGUUACCGGUUGGUUUACCUACUGGUAGGGCAUAGUAGGUGCCAUCAUGACUCGAGAAAUUGGGUCGUGACAUUACUAAAAUAGUCAAAGCUUUUUACUCAAAACUUGAAUUGACGCUAAAUUGGUGGCUUUGGAAAAAAAACUCAAAUACCUUUAAUUUGAUAGCCACGUAACUCUUUAUAUUCUAAGAGAUAUAUUAAUCGGUAAGGAAACUUUCAAAUCAACUUUGUGCUAAGAGAUUCUAGUGACCUUAAUUCAUAUCCAAAUUCAUUCACACACUAAAGAAUUGACCUUAACACCUAAAAAAAUUAAGAGUCACUUAGUACGACCUUAUACACAAUUCAAGAAUGGUUAGGAGCUUAAGUUAGAAAUUUUUUGGGUGUUACAAUAAUUUUGACGGUUUCAUCAGCUCUGAAAGCGCCAUUUUAGGCUAGGGGCAUUGUUGGUUUGAGCCCCGAGACUUCAGGUGUAAGUUUCUGCCGUUAGGCGUUUUAACUUAGAAGCUUAAGUCAAGGGUUGACAUUGGUCAAUAUUCUUGGUAAACGUGCUCAGAUGAGAAUUUCAUCAGUGCGGUUAGCUCAGAAAUGUCGAGUUUGGUCUAGAACAACCUCUCGUGCGGUUCCCUAGGCUUUUGGUCUCAUUUUGAGUCUUCUUGUGGUUUUAAAAUGGAACUUGAGUGUAAGACCCAUUUUUCAUAGAAAUAACCUCGGAUGAGAGUUUUGAUGGGCUCGUUGAGUCUGAAAUAUCGAAUUUGAUGGGGUAGAAUAUUUUGUUAGCACACACGGGGUUCCGAACGAAUCUUGGACACCCCAUUAGAGAAUUCGGAGCAAACUGUUGAUAUCUGGUGCAGGUUUUUAGCGACCAAAUAUCAAACUUAGAGUCCAAAUUUGGGUAUAUAUAACCCAAAAAUUUCAGCUUUAAGCCCUCAUUUUCAAAUGGCAAUUUCUCCCUCAUCCAAGCUCUGAUUUGAGUAAUUCGAAGUCUUGUGUGAUCGCAGGGAGCGUGGAUACUUGGGUUUGUGAUUAGAAAUUGUCAAAGAACCUUUGUUUGAGGUAAAUUUUAGCUCGAAGCUACUGUCUUAGCUUGGUUUUCUUAUUAAUUUUGCAUGUGGUGGUUUGGGCUAUUCCGAGCAUGGAAUUGAUCCCCGUUUCGGGGCACAAGCUCAACUAGUCGAUUAGGUCCUUUUGACGGAGUCAAUUUCAAAAUUCCAUGUGUGGGUCUCACAUUCUCAUUUUGACUCCAUUUUGGCUCCAUUUUCAAUUGUUCCAAUUUCAGUGUCAAAAUGCAUGUGAUGACGUUGUGAUUGAUAAUUUUAUCGUUUAGCAGUGUUCGGAGGCAUUUAGGAUGCGGAUAACAGUUUUACAUUGAAAAAGAGAAACUUUGAUUUCUAAAAAGAGUAAUGAGUUUAGAGAUUAAUUCAGAGCAGUUACUUUUUUUAAGAGGACAUUUUGUGUAAUUACCUUAAAUUGAGAAAGAAUAUGUUUUAGACAUUUGAGCAUGAGUAUAUAUAUUUAUUGGGAGUAGUAUUGAGAACCGAUAUGGGUAUGAGUUAUGACAACUCACGUUCCUCAUAAACCAUGUAGCCAACAUGGGUAAAUGAUCGUACUUUUUAGAUGACUCCUUAUUGCUUUCGAGCAUAGCUUAGUGGAUCCACUUAGUUGAGGUGUUCUAUACCCCGACAAGGUAUAGGACAAUUUUAAAAGUGUGGGCGAGACGUUGUAUCAUCACAUAACUCACAAUGAUGGUUGUCGGUUAGAGAAUCUCCCAAAUAAGAGUGAAGAGUAACUUAUUGUAUUUUUAUACACAUCUUUGUGUUAGUAUCUUUUAUUAAUGAAACUUUAAACAUUUCAUCUUUUGUUAUUGCUUUGUUAUACUAAUCUUGAUUAUUUAUUCAAGUGUACCAAAAGAAUUUACCUUAUUAGAAUGCAAGAAUAAAAGACGUAUACUAAUGAUUGGGGAAAUUUAAGGGCAGCAGCUUACUUAGAAUUCAUGCAUGGUAUCUUCUUCUAUGGACUUCAAUUAGUUAUCAAAAUCGCUGAUUUACAAGGUUAAAUGUAUGAUCAUGGUCUCUCGACCUCUUGGCAGUCUAACUACAUCGUUGAUCGGGGAUAAACUGAAUCAAUUGCGGGGCAUUAAGUUAUCAUCUUGUUUAGUAACCAAGCAAUGUCUCUAGGUAUAUCCCUAUCCUAGAUACAAAUCAACCCUAAUUCUAGAGAAGAUCGUGCUCUUUUUGUCCCACGUUCUAUCCUCAUAUUCCUCUCCCUAGUUCAAUUGAGACAAUAUAUUUAUUUCAAUGGUGGUCACUCACAAAAUACUAAAAUAAGAACAAAAGAGCAUUUUAUGCGAUGACAAUUUUUAAUACAUAAAAUUCAAUACUAUACAAUCAUCAUGUAGCCACAACCCUAGAACAAAGGUCUUCAGUUACUAAUGCCUAAGAAGAGAAAAAAUAAGAAAAGAAUCCUAAAAAAGUAUCGACAACGUAUCCUUCCAAAGUCUCCGUAUAUCCUCCAAUAAUUAUUCUUAUGGACUAUUUAUAAAUGUAGAAAACCCUAAAAAAAAAUAGUAGAGUCCAAACAAAUUGGGAAAGCAAAACCUACACGAAAUUGGAGGUGCCUUCAUUCAGUGCCAUGUGGCAACAAGAUAAUUGUCUAUCAAAAUCUGCUUCCUUUCAAUUCUGCGUACAUUUGAAUGUAUAUAAAUAUUAAUAUAAUGUUCAAUUUAAUCCAUCAAAUUUUCUGCUUUCAUUCUUCAACCUUUCAUUUUUAAUUCAUUUUAGCUCCAAACUUCUCUAUCUUCACACCAAUUUAAUCCUACAAAUAAAAUAUACUAUUAAGUACAAUCCACAAAAAUUCAUGCCCAAAAAUAACAAAUAAAAAUAAUAAAUGUGAGGCAAAUAAUGAUUUAAAAUAUGUAAUUUUGCCUCACAUCAUAUAGUAUGUGUGGAAAGCUCUCAAAUUGUGUUCAACUUAACUGAAGUAUAUGGGCUUCAUACGAUGGAGGAUAGGAAAAUGCUAUGGCAGGAUCCCAGGGAGAUACAUAUGAAUCAACAAGGGGCUUGGCUAGCACUGGGAGAUUAUAAUGCUAUACUUGAUUCUGAAGACAGAAUAAUAGGAAAUCUAGUUAGAGAAAUGGAAAUUGUGGACUUUAAUGAAUUCCUACUUGAUAGUAGUAUAAUUGAAAUGCGAUCAAGGGGUAGAAGUUUCACUUGGACUAACAGACAUAUUUCUAGAAAGAUCGAUCGAGUUCUAGUCAAUGGGGAGUGGAUGUUAAUGUUCCCACAACUAGAAGUCCACGUUAUGGACCCAAAAUUUCCAGACCAUUCUCCACUUAGAGUCCAGAUUGCUAUGGAAAACUAUGAAUACCCAAAACCUUUCAGAUUCUUGAAUUGUAUUGUCGAUCAUGAAGAGUUUUUGGGGUUGUGCAGAGAGUGUGGCUUCAUAGUAGAAGAGAAGGGUAUAUGAAAAGUGUUUGGAAAAGUCUUAAAUUGAUAUCAACUUAACAUUCUAAGACAACAGUUGGAUGAUAUCCAAACCACCAUGAGACAUCCUGAACAUGAUCAUGAUAUUUUUAGACAGGAGAACACACCUCUACAUCUUUUCAUAUCUAUUGUCAGAGGAUUGCUGCUCAUAACUACUAGCUAUCCAUCUAGCCCACGAUAGCGAAGUCUCAAAAAAAAGAUUGGCAUUAAGCUAUAACUACAAAAAUGGGACAACAUUGUUGGGAGUAUCUUAAAGAAGAAAUCUAGAAUGACUUGGCUAAAAUUAGGAGAUGCAAAUAGAUCCUUUUUUUUGCUAGCAUAAAAUCUAGAAUAUCCCAUAACAAAAUUAAGAGUCUUACUACAUCUGCUGGUAUUGUCCUACUCACACAAGAUGAGGUCAAAAAUGAGAUAAUCAACUUCUACAGAGGUGUGCUGGGAACUGCAGCUACACACUUACCUACCGUAAAUCCAAUCCUAUGCUGGAUAGACAACAUCAAUUGAAACUCAUUGAAUUUGUUACUAAGAAAGAAAUCCUAAAUGCACUUAAAGGGAUAGAGGACUCAAAAGCACCAGGAUGUAAUGGUUACAACACUUAUUUCUUUAAGAAAGCAUAGAAUGUCAUAGGCGAGGAGGUCAAAAAUGCUAUCUUGGAAUACUUCUCAACUGAAAAAUGUUUAAGGACAUAAACUAAACAAUUAUAACACUGAUUCCUAAAGUCAAGAACCCAACUAAGGUCAUUAAAUACAGGCCAAUAUCAUGUUGUACUAUUCUCUAUAAUCCCAUCUCAAAGGUUUUAACUGCUAGGAUGAGAGUGACAAUGGAUGGGCUAGUGCAUGCUAGCAAAUCUGCGUUUGUUCCAGGGAGAGUGAUCACUGAUAACAUUAUCAUGAGCCAUGAUAUCAUCAAAUGGUACGGAAGGAAACAUAUAUCCCCUAGAUGCAUGAUGAAGAUCGACAUGAAGAAAGCUUAUGAUUCUAUUGAAUGACCUUUUCUAGAGCAGGUAUUGAAAAUUAUCAAUUUCCCACCUAUAUUUGUGAAUUGGAUUAUGACAUGUGUUACCAAAGUGUCUUACUCUAUACUCAUUAAUAGUGUGCCUACUGUCCCGUUCAAUGCAAAAAAGGACCUUAGACAGGGUGAUCCCUUAUCCCCUUAUCUCUUUGUGUUGUCUAUGGAAUACUUGAAUAGACAACUACCAACUUUGAAGAACCAACUUGAUUUUAACAUUUAUCCCAAGUGUGGGAAGUUGUCCAUCACACAUCUUGGCUUUGCUGACGACUUACUACUUUUCAGUAGAGGUGAUCUAACAUUUGUUCGUAUGAUCUAUGAAUAUUUUAAUGUAUUCUCUAAUGCAUUUGGUCUGGUAACAAACAUUGAGAAGAGCUCUAUUUAAUUUGGAGGUGUACCAAUGGCUGAGCAGGAAGCAAUAUUACAGAGUUUGGUAUUUGCCAAAGGUAUCCUUCAUUUCAAAUAUCUUGGCAUCCCUCUCACAUCAAAGAAGACAAUCAUUAUCCAAUAUAAAUCACUACUAGAUAAGAUGUUGGAUAGGAUAAAAUUCUGGACAUCUAGAUUUUUGUCAUAUGCAGGUCGGGUGCAAAUGAUCAAAAAAUAUCCUAUUUUCUAUCCAAGUAUUUUGGUCGCAAGUUUUCAUCCUUCCACAAAAGGUGAUCCAAGUGGCAAUAUCAUUGUGUAAAAAGUUAUUGUGGUCUGGUGGAGCUGACACUAUAAAGACAUCAAUAAUAGCACGAGAGAAAUUAUGCAAUCUAAAAGCAGCAAGGGGAAUGGGAUUCCUAGAUAUUACAGACUGGAAUAGAGCUGCAAUUUGCAAACAUCUAUGUAACUUUUUCUUGAAGAAAUAUAGACUAUGGAUCCAAUGGAUUCACGCAUAUUAUAUCAAAGGGGGCCGAUCUAGCAUACAAAUGCCCCCAAGCAUCUUGGAUGAUAAAGAAGAUUCUUAAGGCCAAUGAUAGUGUUAAAGCUACUGGAUAUAAUGAGUAGGAAGUGGUUGCUAUAAAUAAGUUGAGUACAAAGCUAAUAUACUCUUAGUUAAGGCGAACUUAUACCAAAGUACACUUGAGAAGAAUAGUAUGUAACAAUCAUGGUGCCCCAAAAUGGAAGUUUAUAUUGUUCUUAGUUACUUUAAGGAGAUUAUUGACCAGUGAUAGACUAGCCAAAUGGAACACUAUUACUGAUGGGGUUUGGACAUAAAUAUCGAAAAAUCAAGAUAUCAAACUGAACCAAAUUUUUUUGGUAUUUCACUUUUUGGUAUGUUUUUUUGUGUUUUCAGCAUUUUAGUUCGGUUUCAGUAUGUGUUUUUGUAUUUUUGGUUUAACCAAAAUAUACAUGUAUAUUUCACUUUUCAAUUGUAACACCCCAAAAAUUUCUAAGUUAAGACUCAAAUCAUUCUUCAUUUGUAAAUAAGAUUGUACCGGAUGAUUCUUAAAUUUCUCAUGUAUGUAAAGGUCAAUUAUUUAAUGUGGAAAUGAAUUUGGAUAUGAGUUAGGUCACUAGAAUCCCCUAGCACAAAGUUGGGUUGAACGCUUCUAUACCAAUUAAGUUUUGAUGUAAGAUUCUACUUGGGUCAACUUCAAACAACCAUAUCUCUUAGAAUAUAUAGGGUUACGUGGACCAUAAUCUAUUAUAUUAAAUGUAUUUGAAUAAUCUUUCCAACGCCACCAAUUUCACAACAAUCUAAGUUCUCAGUAAAAUGUUAUGACAAUUUUAGUAACCUGAUACAGUGAAGUGAUGAAUUAGCCGACGGGAAAACAUUAAAAAGGGUUGUUUUUGUCUUUUUACCUCUAAGAAAACCCUAAACGAAUUUCUUAACUAAUUAAAGGCCCAAAAAAUCAGAUUUUCAUCUCUUAAUCCCUCAUUUUCUUCUCUCUCACCCCUAAGGCAAAACCCUAAGGAAAGAUCAAAGUAGAAUACUUUCAUUCAAGAUUCUUUCAAUCUUUUUUAAGAUUCUUUCAAUAUUUUUCAAGAUUCUUUUUCAAGGUAAGUCCUUCUCCAAGAAUUUCAUUCUUUCCAAUUCAAAUUCUUCCAUACAAUUAUGAAUCACUAAUAAAAAUUAUAAUUCUUGGCCGUAGAGAUUUCAAGAAACUAAUUCAAGAAAGGAUUUUUUGAUUGUUCUCCUUCAAGCUAGAGUUUCAAGGCUUCUGAUCAAGUUCUUCUUCAAGAUUAUUCAAGAACCUUGUUCUUCCAGGUAUGUAAGGUUAUCAUAGUGUUGGACUAGUUCUUCUUUACGCCCUACAUCUACUUUCAAAUCAGUAAAAGAGUAAUCUAGAAUUUUAUCCCUAGAUUUGAGUAUUCUUGAGAUGAGAUGAUUUUGAGUUCUUGAGUUCCUGAUUCUUUUGAAAUUCUAUUCCUAAUUAUUGAAUUGCCAUUUGUUAGGCAUUAAGAUAUAUUUCAACAUGAACGCUAUGAAUUGAGUAUUCUUGAGAUGAGUAGUAUAAUUGAGUUUUGAGUUCUUUAUUUCUGAGUAUUGAGUUUUUCAUAUUAUUAUUGAGAUCAUUGAGUUGAUUUGUUCAUGUCUAUAUUUCAGAAUGAACCCUAUUUUAAGUUAAAAAUUUUGAGAAUCUUUUAAAAUAGAUAUUUAUGCCUUAUACUGAUUUUCUGAGAAAAUAAAGAUGAGUUUUGAGAAAGAGUUUUAAUCUUGUUCUGGCAGGGUGGGCGAGACGUUGUAUCAUCACGUAGCUCAUAGUGAUGGUUAUCGGUAAGAGAAUCUACCAAAUAGAGUUAAAAGAGUAUUUUUAUUAUAUCACUUAUUAUGCUAAGUUCAAAAAUAAGUAAGUAUUUUUGUAAACUUUUAAUAAUUUCACCUCUUUAUUUCUUUACAUUUAGUUGAGUAUAUGUCUAUAUCUAUUGCACUCCUUUCAUUUAGUUAUUUGUUAUCCAGCUUGUUACGACCCGAUUUCAAAAACUAAAGGUUUCGAAACCAUUUCAUAACUUUUGCAAGUUUAUUGAUUUUUGGGAAAAAUAACAAUUUGGAAGUCGCCACUUAAUUUUUAGGAAAAAUUAAGAAUAAUAGGGGAAUAUUUGAAAGAAAACAUUUUAAAUAAAAUCAGACUCAGGUAAGGGUUCAAAUAAUUCUCUAAGGAGGGGUUUAGGCAUCUUAGAGAAUUUGCUAACACGCGAUUGACCGAUGGAUUUAAAAGCUUGGCUAAUUUUAUUAAAAAAAAAGGGUUACUUAUAAAAAUAUCUUGAUACUUCUAAAAAUCUCAAGAAUAAUCUUAACUUAAAACUUUUAUCCAUAGUCAUGUUUUGAACCAUACAAUUAAUUCAAACUCAUAAACAUGGAUUAAAGGACCUUGUUUAACAACUAUGAAAGGAUAUUAAGGAUCCUUAAGUCAUUCAUACAAAGUACUAAGUUAAAUUAAAGGACAACUAAUUUAUCUUAAGAAACUUAACAAUUUUAUCCUAUUCAAAAAUUUGAACUAAAUAGUUAGUUCAAACUCAUAAACAUGGAUUCAAAGCUUUUCAAUAACUAUGAAAGAACAUGAAAGGUUCUUUAAGUCAUUCUAUAAGCUUAAAUUACCUAACUUAAAAUGGGUUUUGGGAUUUGAAAACUUGAAUAACAAAAUAAAAAAUAUUUCUCCCAAAGAUUCAUCUAAAUUAACAAAAUAAAUGUUAGAAAUUAAUGAUAUACCGUGAGUUUACGGUAUUGUUAAUACAUUUCACUUGAGAGUUGUGUGUGUCUAGGGCCAUUCUGUAUUAGUUCUUAUGUGUUUUCUCAUGUUUUCAGGAAUAAGUUCAGAUGCGGAGAUUUGAAGACACAGCUGAAAGACGUGCAAAAACAGCAUCUACGGAGGAAACCUACAAACAAUAGGUCCAGUUACGCCCCGUAAAUGAUGGACGUCGAUGGGCAGGCAAGGCAUGGCUGAAGAUCAGGAAAUUCUCGACCAAGUGUAGAACCACGGUUGCAACUUACGAACCGUAGAUUGAUCUACGGACCGUACUGUUGCUCCGUAAAAUGUGACAGAAAUUUGGUUCCAGCACCUGAUGCUGAAAAGUCUAAGUAUGGAGCUACGGAGAGGAGUUACGGACCAAAGAUUAACUUACGGUCCGUACUGUUGAACCGUCGAAUAUAACAGAAGUUUGGAAGAUUUUGAAGAUUGAAAAAUUGCCCAAGUCCUGAGCCACGGAAAGGACCUACGGACCGUAGAUAGACUUACGGACCAUAGGUCAGUGUCGUAGAUUAAAGACGCAUCAUGUAAACUUUAUUUCCUUAUUUCGUUUCCUUUUUAGUUAGGACUUGUUUUCCUAUAAAUAGGGUACGUAAACCUCGUUUUUGGGGUUAGACUUUAUUACUUUUAUUCUAGUUCUUGACUUGGGAGAUCAACUUGCAACUUUAGCAAUACUUAAUUUUCUAAGUUCGUUUUGAAGAUUUUGGUGUUGAAAUUCAAGUUGAAGUCUGGGUUUAUUAUUCUUGUUACGUAAGUUCAUGAUUUCUUCUUCUAAAACUAUGAAUCGUGUUCUUGCUAAUACGGGUAACUAAAUCCACAACUAGGGUUGUGGAACCAUGAGCGAUUAACAAAGUGUUGUUGCAUGCAUUAGUAAUUCUUUCGUUUAGAAGUCUUUUUAACGAGAGCAUGUGUUAAAACUCGCCUUGUUGCUACUUGCCGGACCAAGGAGGUAGUUAAUAAGAAAAGAAUUAUCAACAUAGAUUUAGUGUGAUACUAUCUAAUAGAAUUAAUGUCGAUUGGUGCGAGGGUGAAAACUAAGUCAUACAUCGAUGUGACGUCUAAUAUGAGGUAAUGGUAAGGGUUAGUAAAUGAUACACACGUAGCCGGACCAAGGUGCGGGGUGAAAUUCUCUAGAUGCCGGGCCAAGGAUUUAGAUACACAUAACUUAUUGUUUUGCAUGUAAUACACUAGGAAGAGAUUGCUAUUACUAGGAUUACAGAGUUAUGAGCUUAUGGGGAACACGUACUCCCUAGUUUCUUUCUCAAUUUGAUAACAACAAAAGUUUAAAUCUUGCUUACUAAUUACUUUCAUAACUUCCAAAAUUUGUUACACAAAUCCCCCCCCCCUUUUACUUAUUUGUCUCGGAAAUACAUUUGCUAAACGAAUAUAAUCGUUAUUGAACUUAAGUAUAAAUCAUAUUCCUCGUGAAAUUGACCCCAACCUACAAGUUGGGUUCUUUACGUGAUAACGAUCGCUUAUGCUUCUGAAAAGAGGUGUAAUUUGAGCGUAUCAAUUAACGGCAAUUAUCACAAAAUCACAAUAUAAGAAGAAUAAAAGGGCGAAUAGAACUUGGACAAUUUUAAGUACACUUACUGCUUCUUAUUUGCUGCUGCUGGUGCUAAAAUGAUAUUUCCAGCCUUUUGAGACUACUGAAACUGGUGCAAAAACCAAGUGUUCUAAUUUCGGCCAAUUUGAACCGAAAACACUCUCAUUUCAGCUCUUUUGUGCCCCUGUUGCUGCUUCUGAUUUUGGGUUUUUAACCCAAUUUCGCUUCUCAUUUCUCAGCCUUUCAAGGCUGCUGUAGUGGCUGGCUCUUAGGUUUUAUCCCAGUAAUAUUAACCUCCUUUCAAUUGGCUUAAAGGAGGUUGACUCGAGGAGAGGAGUAUGCAAGAAUAGGAGUCCAAUUGGACUCAAACGAGAGAGUUCAUGCCAAGGAAAAAAGGGAAAAAGAUUAACAACAUUUGAAUGAUAUCAACUUGAGCUUAAAACAAACAAUGUCAUGUGAGCUCAAAACUCUAAUUGGCAUGUUUAUCAUGGCUAAAAUUAUACCAAACUUAACCAUAUACUACUAUCGAUCACAGAAAAAAUAAAGAUAAAGCAAAUAUAAAUUAGAGAAAAGAACUAUAUCAAGUAAAUAUGAACUUACUGCUUAAGGAAACAAGCUGAUGUCAACAUGAAUUAAUUUAAGACAUGACACAGAUAGCCAUAUUCAAACACAGCAAUAAAGAAAAAACUACCAAGAGCAAGCAAAACUCUAUCUAGAGUUACUGAACCAGAAUUACAACAAAGAACAUCUAAGGGCAAUCAAGGGUAGCACUUGAAGAUUUACGGCAGUUGAGGUUAGAUUAACUACAAACAGUAAAGAAAAGAGUGGUAUAUUUGCACCUAAAAUCAGUAAAUGAACACGAGAACAUAUUUAUAAUAUUGUCAAAAUUAUUUGAACACCACAUAAUUUCAUAAGCAAUUUAGAAUCUGUGUAUAAAAUAACAUUUCCAAGAUGGAGGCACUUAACAACAAUAGGCAGCCACAACUUAAUUAUGACAACAACUAAACAGAGGUUUCUUACUCCUACUUUAACACAACCUUUGAUCAAACCAAAAAGGAGUUUGAAACAGAUUCAAGUAUAGUUUAAAGAUAAACAACUUUAGACUCAACUUGAUCAAGUUUUAAGCCAAUUCAUUUAGCAUAUACGAAAGGCAAACAAGAAAGAGCAAGGAGAUAUAAAAUAACUUAGAGAAUUUAAACAAGGAUCUAAGUAGAGUAAUCUAAUAAAUUUUAGGACGUAUAAAAGCUAUGAUAUGAGCUUUCAUCCAUCCCAGCCUAACUCUUUGGAGAGUGUUAAAGAGCAGCCCCAAAGGUAAGCAAUUUCUCACUCAGACAGGCUCUCGAUUGGCAUUGAAAGCCAAUGGUCUGUUAUUUGACAAAUCACACCAACAGAUUUUACAAAAUAGACAGACAUAGAUGACAUUCAACAACGAAUACAGGCUUCAAAGAAAAAAAAACAGAAGAUGAAAACCUUAAAACUGAUAAAACUAAACUCCAUAUUUCAGAUUUUCAUUACCACUUAGAUAGGUUAAUCAAUCAAGAUAAACUAGAUACUUCAAAAGCCUUUCCAAAUCAAAAUGAAUUCAAGUUACAAAAUCCAACCUAAUAGCUAGGAAUGCUUGAACAUGAAAAUCACAACUCUAACUCUAUUCAACACUAAUUAAACUUAUCCCAAGACAAUAGCAAAUGCUGAAAUUAAGGCAUGACUAUCCUACAUAUAAAUUAACCGAGUUCAAAGAUGAGCAAUUUUGCUAUUUUUUUUAAUCUAUUAGAAAAAUACUUAAACAGCUAAUGCCAAACACAUUUCAAUGAACAAGACAUAAUUAAGAGCCAACAUAAAUGUUGAAAUAAAGAGAAGAUUACCUGGUUGUGGGCAGCGAACCGGACGAUGAGUUUGACGGAGACGGUUCCACUACCUCUUUCAACUCGAAUGAUCACAAAAGCCACAAAACUUUAAACUAUUGAGCCGAGAAUUCCCAAACCCUUUUGGGGUACUCUCAAUCUCCAAAAACCGUCCCUUUGAACAGUGAAUGGGGUUGGUUUAUAUAAAAACCAAAAAAAAUUCCAAAAUGGAAGAAAUCUCGAUAUGGGACUGUUGCAAAUUGAAAAUCGUUUGAGAAACGAUGUGGGUGAGGCCGAAAUCUCCAAUUUUCGCAGUGGAUAAGGUGUAUGAGCUGGGGAGUGUACGAAUUUGAAAUGAAAAUGAAGAGAAAAAGGAAAUUGGAAUGGACCACACCAUGGUUGCCUCCGGAAGCUCCGAGUGUCUUUAGGCUCGUGCUAAGCACGCAGAUUGUACGAAUAUGAAGUAAAAAAGGGGAAAUUUAAGGCGGCAAAUUUGGGAAUGGGUUCGUUCUUUGGUUUGUUCUGUUCUCGCGUCUCUGUAUUGAGAAUGAGAAGGAGAAGAGCAUGGAGGAUUUUGGGCUUAAGAAUGGGCCGG
rnacentral:lncRNA from 1 species